rnacentral:lncRNA from 1 species
UGUUGGAAACAAGAAAGUGCAUUGAACAGGCGAAAAUCAGCUUUUUCUGCUUGCUGUACCGGUACAGCCAUUAGCUUGUACCGGUACACAAUGCAGAAACGUGGCAGCUUGGGUAUUUCGGUAAUUUCACAUCUUGCUCUCACCUAUUUGAUCCCAGCACGACUCUGGGAGCUCAGUAAGGGUUGCUGGAGCUCAGGAGGUUGUUCUUCCACCUUCCUCUCUCUCUCUCUCUAGGAUUUUUCUCUCUCUACAUAAAAAUCGACGAUUUCGCUCGUUUUCGUCGCCUUGCUUGUUCUUCGCUGAUUGCGAGUGUUGCCGAGCUUACGUGGACAUGUGAGAGAGUGUUUUGGAAGGCUUUUCGCAGCCCUGGACCAGUGAGGUGCUGGUUGGAAGCCUGAGAAGGUAAAUGACUUGAUUUUUCCGUUAUCGGCACUUUAUUGGUCGAUUUGAGUAUUGAUUUCAUGUUUUUGCUUCCAACUGUUUUAAACUGAGAUUUCAGCAUGUAUAUAUGAGUUAUUUAGCUGAGAAUUAACCCUCUUAGAUCUGGGAUAAGCUACUUGGAAGCUUAAUUGGAAUAAUUAGCCAUUUAUGAAGCUAUUUCGGACUAUAUACGGGUUAUGCGACCGAAUUGAUACAAUUUGAAAAUUGUUCUCUUUGCAGCAGGUUUUUGAACCUUAUUAAACGAAAUUAGUGACCUUGGGACUGAGUUUAGAAGGUGUUCUAACGACGGGUAAGCAGGAAUUUCAGCUAGGAAUUAAAUCUUGCGAGAAUUCGACUAUUCUAGCUUAUAAUCGACAAUAUUGAUGCCGUUUCGGUAUUGUUCGCAGCGAGAGGGUAUUUGACCCUUGGACCGUCUUCGACUGGCCUUGGAGGACCUUUUGGAAGCUUAACUUGAGGUAUUACUCUAGCCCAGAAUAGGGAUUCAAGGGGUUACCUUGCACUAAGUGUAAAUUAGGCCGAAAUCGGACAUUUCGGUCGUGUUUUUGACACGGUUUUGAUACCUUACUUUCAGCAGCAGUGGGAUCUCGUGGGGCUGAUUUUGGGACCCUUGCAAACUAUUUUGGAGCUUAGUACGAGGUGGGUUUGACCUAACCAGAGCAAGUGAAGCUCCCCUAUGUUCUAUAUGUAUUAUAGACGCGGUUUAAUUAUAUGCCUAUGUGAUUGCUAAAGGGCUCGGAAUUCGUCAUCAUGACGUUUAUCAUAUGUGAAAUGAGCGUUCAUGCAUAAAAGUAAUCAUGCUUUAAGUAUUCUUGUUUAGUUCAGUAGAACAAUCGGGAGAUCAGUUUAUUAUAUUUCUAUGAUAUAGAGAACAUAUAUACAUGAAAGUAUUUCUAUUCAUAUUCAAUAUAGUUGAAUGGCUUAUGAACAAGUGUAGGAUGCACUUUAAAGUAAAGAACAAUGACAUUCUCCUGACUUUAAUAUAGAGAACUAUGACAUGCUCAUGACUCUGUUGAUAGUGCUAUACUAGUGGAAAGAUUAUAAUGCUAUGUGAUUUAGCUUUACCCUUAUAUGUUUACAAUCUAGUGGAUACUAGCUUUUGUUACUAUUUGUGUAUUGACAUUCCGAUCAGAGGAUCGAGGGUUCUGAACUUUGCAUGUGAAAGUAUAAAAAUUGAGACAUGUGGAUAGUGGACUUUGCUUGCUUGCCAUCGUGCUCAUUCGCACACGCUUGUGAGGGUAGCUCCCUACAGGCCGGCACUCCGGAGUUGGCCUACGCGACAGUUGCUCGCCCGUGCGGGAUUGGGUGCGGAAGUGGAUUGCCGUGGGGAGUGUAUACUACCACGGGGCCAUUAGGCGCGGCGCAAGCGGGACUACCUUGAGUAGAUCCCUGUGAAUGGAUGAAAAGUGCUAAAGGAAAUUGGACAGUAAUGAAUGAUUACCAGUUACAGUGUACAGUAGUUACUUACACAUUUACGCUAUGUUCAUGCUUAUAGUAGUUGCUAUCCUUCUAUUAAUCAGUAGAUUCAUUACUGUUGAGACUAUGAUUACAUGUUGCUUACAUGUUCAUUAAUUGUUAGCAUUGAAAAUAUAUCAUGCAAAUUACUGCUUUUAUUUCCAUUUAGUACAUCAUGAGCCUAGUGGUGUAAUUCGCCGAGGCUGGCGGCUUACCCACUGGGAACUAUUGUUAAUAGUUCUCACGCCCUUUUGGUGGUUGUUUUUACAGAGCCUGUUACAGGAGAGGCUAGGGAUCGUGGCAAGGGAGUCGCGCCUAGCUAGGGACUACUAGGAGCAUGCUAGUCGAUCACCUUGUUACUCGGGCUACGGCCGAGGGUGAUGUCCUUUUGUAUAGAAAGGCUACCAUUGUACCUAUUUUUGUAUACCCAGUAUUGUAUAUCUCCUGUUUGGAUCUGAUGUUUUAGUUGUGAUACUUAUCUUUUGGUUGAGCUUUUGGAUUGUACACUCUUGCCCUUUUGUUGAUAGUAUUUUGACUUGUACUUUGCUCUGAUAUCAGGAUAGGACUUUCUUUGUUUUACUUCCUAUCGACUUGUGUUCUUGUAGACGCCUUAUAUACUGCAGGUGUAUGGCGGGUCUGUGCACGUGCCGGAUAUGCUUCCGCUGGUACCCGGGCGUGACACAUUACUUAGCAUUUUAUGCAUUCGUUAACAUUUACUACAUGCAUUCUCAGUUAAUAUAAAUCUCAUACUUACGUUUGAAAUCUGUUUAGCAUUUCUAUAAUAUACUCAUGUAAAUUAACAUCAACUCAUGCAUUUACUUGACAUCUAUCUUUAUCAUGCAUUCUUAAAUAGCAUACUUUAUCAUGCAUUCUCAAAUAGCAUACUUUAUCAUGCAUCAAUAGUAAACAUACUACACUUUGGCACGGAAAGCGACCUAAUCGCUUCGGUGAGCACAACCCACCUCAAAACGCUUUCCGAUUGCUUGUCGACACUUGCAAUCGGCCUCCCGCGGCACCCGUAACCCGGUUUGGCCCGAUCUUCUGCGCGACCACCCGAACGGCCUCCGAUCCACGAUCUGAAAAUUAAAGGUCUUCGGUUAUGUGCCACGGUGCUUCAAAUCUAUUUCCAUGAUUUUACGACGUCGCCUCGGCCCUCCAAGCGGUAACGAAGCCUAAACGUCCGUUUCUUUAAUAACUUUGUAACGGCUCGUCGGAUUGCCGAACCGUCUUCGCCAACGCGUUUCGUUACCUAGCAAUUAGGUUUACGGAGGGUCAAAUUAGAUCAAACCCUCAUAUUUUUAAAAUUAGCAUUUUUGAGCCCUAACAUGAAUUAACCUCCAAAUAAUCCCAAUUAAAUGGAACAACAUACUAUCAAUACUCAUUAGAGGCUAUUAGUGCACUUAAAGCUAAGGAUUAAACCAAAUCCCAAAAGCUUACCCCAAUGUGAACGCCGCAACGACAACACGCAGCUCCAACGGGCGCACGAAAGCUCGAUCCGUCGCCUCCAACGCGUUCGCAGACUCGAUCUCCACCAACCCUCCAAUUUUUAGAGAGAGAUAUAGAGAGAUGAGAGAGAUAUUUAGAGAGAGAAAUGAAGGUCUCUCUCUCUCUCCCUCCAUGCGUGCGUGAGAGGUGUGUCGGCCAUGGUGGUCGGCUGAUGGAGGAGAAGAAGCUGAUGCUUCUAAUUAAAGUCAACACCAAACACUAUUCACUCCAGGCAACUUAAAAUCUGAUAUCUUUCGCCGGAGCUCUCUGAAUGUCCGUUUGAGCUCAAACUUGACAGUCAUUUUUGGUUUUACGUACUGAGUAAGAAUAUAUCUUACGUUUUCAGUUUCGACCCCGUUUGGUCACCGAAAACUGUACCGAACUGUAAUUUUUAUCAGAUAGCUUUCGGAUUUUAUUUCUCACCUUUCGGGUGUCAGAAAAAUAUGAAACUUUAAAUCUAGCCUCAUAAAAAUAUUUCUGACUUAUCCUCCAAUUUUCAUAAUUUUCUGAGACUGUGCAUUUUCUGCUAAUUUAUCUGUCCCGUUUCCAACAGAAAAUUCUAGAUCUUCUGUUUUCAUCCCGAUUUCAGCACAAGUCAAUUCUGACUUAUGUUUUACUUCUCUAAAUUCAAUAAAAAUAGUAUUCCACACUAUUUUUAUUUAUUUUUAUUUUUUUACCAAAAUCUGGUAUAUUACAUGGGGAGCUCCCCACACAAGCACGUGCGAAUGAGCACAAAUGACAAGUAUAGUUAUCGUCUCAAAGACCCAGUAAUCAUGUCUCCAACAUGGUAAUAUUUACUAGCAAGCCAAAGGUCUACUUUUAUGUCACAAUGUGAACUUUUAGCCAUUCACUAAGUCCAAUGUCACUUUAUGACAUUAGGUUUACUAAAUCCAAACAUAUUCCAAGUUCAAUGCCCCUUUAUGACAUUAUGUUUCCUUCUAUGUUUUAGCAUAUAUCCAUUGUUUAAAAGCAAAUAAGUACUCGUCAUUUAGCUACAUACAACAUGAUUCCAACCACAUCAUAAGAAUAUCAUACACUAGCAUGAGUACUAUGCAUAUAUUCCUCUACUACAUAGAGGCGAAAUUUCAUGAGACAUAACAUAUGCAUUUUAAGUAUUCUAAAAUUUACAAAUAUUUUAUCUAGCAUGAAUAUGCAUGAAUUUCUAUUUUACAACAAGAAAUAGAACAUAGGGGGAGUUCACCCAUUUCGGUGAGGUCAAACCCACUAAGAACUCCUUGCAACCCUUUCGUUUGCGCGAACGAAGGUGCCCACAAGUCUCUCCUAACUCUCUAGAGAAAAUUCUAAGAGGGUUAGACGAAACGAACGAACACCCAAAGUGUUCAUCUUUAACCAACUCAAGAAAAGGGUUAAAACUCACCUAACUGUUGAAAAAACUCUCUCAAAUCCCAAAUGGAAGGUAGAGCCCUUCCAAUCCAACCUAAAUGAAGGUUCUAACCAAUCAAUUGAGCUUCAAAAGCUACAAAUAAAAAAUCCUCAAAUAAACUCUAGAUUUCACAUUUUUAGGUUUUUAUCUCAAAAAUCACAAGAAUCAUAAUCUAAAGGAGAGAAGUAAGCAACUAACCUCUCUAAAAGCUCUAAACCAAGCUAGAAGUGAGCUAGGGUUAGAAAUCUCUCUUGCAACAAGCUCCACUCUAAGCUCCAAAGCUUAUCCCAAGGUGGAAAUGUCACCAAGAUGCCAAAAGAAGCAAAAGAGGUGAUUAAUCCUCAAAAAUCCCAACAAAAAUGGAAAGAAGACAAAUGAGAGGACCUACCUUCUCUCCUCAGGUUCCAAGCUUAGGGAACCAACAAAGAGGCGUGGGGUAUAUGUAGUGUUGCUACAAUUUCAAAAACCCCCCUAAAAAACCAGCAGAUUGCAGUCUGCACUACGUAUCGGUACCACGGGCUGGCACACCGGUACUAGGCAGCAGAGCUCGUCAACUCGAGCCUCGAGUUGGCCAACAGACACACUGGGUACCGGUACCAAGUCGAUGCAGCACCGGUAUCCUACUGCGCAGAGUCCAACCUGAGAGCAGCCCAAUCUCUUCAUUUUCGAGAUUUUGGUGCUAAGUUUUCACCCUCGCUUCUAGGGAUGCGAGUCAUAGGUCAGAACAUUGUCUACGACCCUCUAGAAUACUUGGAAAAACUCAGAACACAAAUCAAACACUCAAACCUUGCAGUUUGCUAAAGUUCAGUGUGUUACAUUCUUAGUCCAUCUAAUUCUAAACUCAUUACCGUCUGAGUUUGACCCUUUUAAGAUCUCUAUAACACACAUAAGGAUUAAUGGUCAAUUGAUAAAUUAUUGACCAUGUGUGUUCAAGAAGAUGAGAGAUUUAAGCAGGAGAAGCCGGAAACUAUAACAGAAUCUGUUAAUCUGGCGGUUCAGCGCAAAAAGGGAAAUAGCAAAGGUGUCUCUAAUUACAAGAAAUCAGCUCAAUUGCCAAUAAAGAAUUCUGGCAAGAAAGAUCAAUGCUACUUUUGUAAAAAGAAAGGGCACAUGAAAAGGGACUGUUUGAAGUAUAAACCUUGGCUCGAAAAGAAAGGCAUUGAAAUUAUCUAUAUUUGUUAUGAAUCUCAUUUAGUUGAUGUUCCUAAAAACACAUCGUGGAUUGACUCUGCAACUACUGUACAUAUCUCAAAUACCAUACAGGGUUUUCACAACCUAACGAUAUUGAAGCCAAAUGAAAGGAUUUUAAUUAGAGGAGAAGAAAAUAAAUCUCAAGUUGAAGCUGUAGGAAAGUUCAUUUUAGAACUUAGUGCUAGUUUUGUACUUGAACUUGAAGAUACUUUUUAUGUUCCUAAAUUUUCUAGAAAUUUAAUUUCUGUUUCUAAAUUUAAAAAUAAAGGCUUCAAAUUUUUAUUUGAAAAUGAAUAUUUUACUAUGUUCUCCGAUAAUAUUAUUAUUGGCAAUGGUUGUUUGGUAGAUGAUUUGUACAAAUUUAAUUUGAGUCAAUUUUUUGAAAAUAAUUUUAAUGUUGAUCAUGACAUUGGUGUUAAAGGGAACAUUAUUAAAGAAAACUCCUCUUAUUUAUGGCACAAACGUUUAGCUCAUAUAUCUAAAGAGAUUGGUAAAAGAAAAGAUCUUACAAGAUCUCAACUUUACCGAUUUUGGUACUUGUGUGGAAUGCAUAGAGGAAAAGCAUAGUAACACAAAUACCACUAAAGGUGCCAGAAGGAAUUCUGAAAUUCUUGAGAUCAUACAUACAGAUAUCUGUGGACCUUUUCCUAUUCCUUGUUUCAAUGGUCAGAGAUAUUUUAUCUCAUUUAUUGAUGACCAUUCAAGAUAUAUGUAUCUCUAUCUCUAAUUUAAAAAAGCUGAGGCUCUCGAUACUUUUAAAGCUUAUAAGGUUGAGGUAGAGAAACAAUUAGAUAGGAAAAUUAAGAUUGUAAGGUCCGACAGAGAGGGUGAGUAUUAAGGAAGACAUACGGAUAAAGGUCAAAUGGUCGGUCCAUUUGCUCAAUUCCUCGAAGGUGAAGGCAUCAUUGCUCAGUAUACGAUGCCUGGCACGCCCUAACAAAAUGGCGUUGCCGAAAGGAGGAAUAGAACACUCAUAGACAUGGUAAAGAGCAUGAUUAGCAGCUCUUGUCUUCCAUCUUCUCUUUGGAGUGAAGCACUAAAGACAGUGGUGUAUGUUUUAAAUAGGAUUCCAUCGAAGGCCAUUUCUAAAACUUCUUUUGAGUUGUGGAAAGUAUCAUGCCCCGAGACCCGCCAAUUUGGUCAGAUUCGAGCGCGCCGACACACCGCCGAACGGCCAGAGUUUUCCCUACACGUCCAAGGCGUCAAAAUCGAUACAAUUCGCGAGGUUCCAACUAGGAACAACAUUCAUACACAGAUUGCAUAAGGAAGGUUUCGAAAACAUAAAUACUAAGCUAUUACAAGCAUUCGUCUCAAUUUUUACAUUUAUAUUACAUUCAACUUCCAAAUACAAUCAAUUUACUACAACUUAUUUCUUUCUUUUCUACACCCCUAGUUAGGUCGACUUGAGGUACUGCUACCUCUGGUCACGGUAGUAGGUCGCUAUCUACGGAGCUACGCCCUUUCCUCGCACCGCCGCGCUAUCGCGUGUGGACUUGAAAACCCCGAAAAACGUAGGAUGAGAACUAUUGUCCAUAGUUCCCGGUAGGUACGGCCACCCAAGGGAAGAGCUUGCACCAGGUCCAAAGGAGGCACUACAAACAUGUUAACUCAAUAGAUAUCAACAAAUAACUUAUGCAAGUAUUAAAUACAUGCGUGUACCUCACAACAUACAAUAUGCAAUUCAUGCAAGUAGAUCUACUGAUUCUACUUUCUAUCUCGCUAUCUACAGCUCAUGCAACUAGCUUCUAAGGUUUCCUCUACCUUAGAUCUAUAUCAUAUAGCAUUCUAUAUCAGUGGUCAUUCUCUAUCACUUGCCACUUUCACCUAAGAUUUUCUUUACCUUAGCCAACUAUGCCACUCGACUCGAUCUUGAGUCAAUCAUCACGGAGAACCGCGCUCAGUAAGGCUCGAGGUGAAGGACGCCUCACAUGCACCUCAGCCUUAAAUCCUUUCGACUAUAGGUCUACCACAGGGUGAAGAGAACAGUCGAUCCCGGACCACCAGUCACUCAAACUCAACGGGCGAGGAGAACCAACUUACUCAUUUCCACAAAGCUCAUACCGGGCGAGGAGAACCAACAUACCCGUUGAAUCAUUGCCGGGCGAGGAGAACCAACAUACCCGCAGUUAUGAUUCACUUGCGCUCAGUCGCAAGUCGCAGCCGCUGCACUCGCAGCCUCAAUUCCUAGGGAUUCCGGAAUCCACUUUCCAUAUCUCAAGGGUUAGCCUCAUACCCUAUAAUGUCGACCUCUCUAGGUUUGACUCAUACACAUCCUAGUGGCCCUUCUACCACUAUAGUUCACAACCUAGGUUCAACCAUGCUAGGUGUCACUACAUGUCAUAACCUAGGUUCAACCACGCUAGGUUUUACGUCAUUUCCACCUAGAUUUCGACUCUAGGUUCACUGUUCAACCUAUGUUCAAUGACACUAGGUUCAAUGCCACUCAAUGUACUUGUUAUCAUAGUUGUGCACUCCUAGGAUUCGUUGUUUACAUGUUCUUGUUUUCCAAUUAUCGAGUUCUCUAAUCAACCUAGAGUUAUCGACCCAAGUUCACAUUCAUAUGAAUCUAGCAUAUUCUCAUAAUAUGUCGACAAGUAUAUGUCCUCUAACAUCUCAUGCACAUGCCGAUAUCUUUAUCGUCAUCCAAUGGUAGGUAACAUCAUCUAGUAUAAUAUGAUUCAUGCAUUCGUAUUAUCAUAUACAACCUACCAUAAUAUACAUGUAUUGACAAUAAACCAUACUUCACUUUGGCAUGGAAGUGGCCUAAUCACUUCGGUGAAGCACAACCUACCUCGUAUCGACGUCAAGAAGCGAGAAACCAAGUCCCGCAAUUUACCGUUGCCGUUUUAGCUCAACCCAAGCCUAACGAACCAAAUUCCGCAAAUCUCUCAAUCGGACACCGUAAUCUCGUCGUAAUCCAAAACGAAGUUGUCCUCCGCAUCGAAUUAUCCUUCAAUUAAGGUUUUACAAGAUUAAUUUGAUUCAAAACCUUUUAGAGACGAGCCCCAUUUUCUAAGCCUAGGGUUCAAGUUCUACGAGAAUACUCCAAAUUUCAUGAUUACAUCUUAACCAAUCUAGUUUAGAAUCAUCUAGAGGUCCUAAGUACCUCAUUACCAAAGAUUUAAUCCAAACCCUAGCUUAAAUCACAAAACUCACUAUGGCCACCUUGGGAAAGAAGCUUGAUCCAUCAUUGGAGAGCUUGCUUCACCACCAAGCUUCUUCUCGAAGCUAUUUCUAAGCUUAAUCUCCAAUCUUUCCUCCAAAUAAUUCUUUUUGGUGGAGAGCUUACAAAAGAGGGAGAGAGAGAUGUGAGCUUGGAGACAGAGAGAAAGAGAGAAAGAGAGAAGACUUGCUUUCUCUCUCUCUCUCGGGUUGGACCAGGACAAAGGGGAGAAGGCAAUUGUUACACACAUAGGCCCCCUAACAAUUGUAACUUACAAAGGCAAUUGUUACACACAUAGGCCCCCCAACAAUUGUAACUUACAAUUUAGUCUAGUUCAGAAUCUGAUACUUUUUGUCGUAGCCCUUCUGAAUGUCUGUUUGCUCUCAAAUUUGACAGUCAGGCUCGGUUAAAAUUAAUAAGAAGAACGAGAUCUUAAUCUUUCAGUUUGGACCAUUUUUGGUGUAACACACUGAACUUUAGUUAAUUGCGAGGUUCGAGUGUUUGAUUUAUGAAUUGAGCAUUUUUGGGUUUUCUAUAUGGUCGUCGACUGUGUUCCGAGCUAUGAUUCGCGUCCCGAGGAGUGAGGAUGAAAAUCUAGCACCAAAAAGUCUAAAAAGAAGGAUUUGGGCUCCUCCCGGGUUGACUCUGCAGGGCAGAGUACCGGUACUACAUCGGCUUGGUACCGGUACUAGACCUUGUACCGGUACUGCACCGCGAUAGUACCGAUACGCAGUGUAUUUUCUCGCUUACCCGAGGCUUGGGUUUGCGCGAGCUGCUGCCUCGUACCGGUACUGUUGCCCUGCGUGCAGUCUACAUGUUUUUGAGGGUUCUCCUUGUAAUUGUUGCAACACUUUAUAUACCCCACACCCUUUGGUUGGGGUCUCUUGUGCUGCAACCAGAGAGGAGAAGAGGUCUUCCAUUUUACUUGGAUUUUUUCCUCUCUUUUUCUUUGGAUUUGAGGUUUGAUCUCUCCACUUGCUUCCUUUUUGCAUCUUGGUGACCUUUCCACCAUUGGUGAAGCUUUGGAGCUUGGAUUGGAGCCUUUUGGAGGAAAGAUGUAACACACUGGACCUUUGCAAAUUGCGAGGUUCGAGUGUUUGGACUGUGUCCUGAGCUUUUCCAGAUUUUCUGGUGGGUCGUUGACAGUGUUCCGACCUAUGGUUCGAAUCCCGAGAAUUGUAGUAUUUUAUGUAGCGCUAAGGUCACUAAAGAGUUGGACUUAGCCUACCCUCGGAUUGCAUUCUGCACGAGGUGUAACCGGUGACAGGUCGAUGGCUGUACCGGUACACAUUUUGUACCGGUACACUUCUGAUGGUUGUACCGGUACACUUGCGGCGAAUUUCGAACCCGAGCCUCGGGUUUGCAUUUUCGUAGGAUGUGUACCGGUACACUUUCCCGUGUACCGGUACACUUUGGCAGUUUUCGAACAGUUCGAACUGCAGGGGUGUUUUUGCAUUGUUGCACCUCUAUAUGAUACCCCACGCCUCCCCUUUGGUUUCCUGAGCCCAGAACUCAGAGGAAACAGGUGAGAGAGCUCCUCCUUGCCUCAUUUUGGAUUUCAUCUUCCUUUUUCUUGGUUUUUAGGUGGUUUUUGCUCUCUUUUGCCUUUUAGAGCAUUUCCCACCAUUGUUGGAGGCUUGGAUCUUGGAGAGGAGCUCAUUGGAGAGGAGAACUUCAACCCUAGUUGGUUUGGGGCCUUGUUGGGAGCUUCUUAAGAGGUUAGAUGCUUGUUCUCUCCUCUUGAUUUGUAUUUUGAUGGUGGAUUUGAGUUGAAACCCUAGAAUGUGAGUUUAGGGUUGAUUUUGGGCAUUUUGAUUCUUGGGCCUUUUGAGCUAAAUUGAUUGGAUUAGAACCUUUAUCUAGGUUGCAUUGGAAGGGAUCUAGCUUCCAUUUGGAGCUUAAAAGGGAUUUUCUACACUUAGGUGAGAUUUUAGCCCUUUUUGCCUUGAUGGUUAAUGUUUGAGUUUCGGGUUGUUCGUUUCGUUUGGGUAACCCUCGUUUUGAUGCUUCUAGGGUACUAGGAGUCUUGUGGGCACCUCCGUUCAGCGAAACGAAGGUUUCGAUUUUGGUGGGUUUGGCCUCACCUAGAUGAGAUAAACUUCUCAUAUGAGGUUUUUAUUUAUCGUAAAGUGAAAACGCAUGCAUAUUCUUAUUGGAUAGAAUAUUUGAGAAUUUUAGAAUGCUUAAAUUGCACAUGUCAUAUACCAUGCAUAUUUGACCUCUAUAUAGUAGAGAGUCUUCAUGUUGGGCUAGGGGCCUAUGGUUAGCAUUCUUACAUUGAUUGAGAUCAUGUUGCAUAUGGUACAUAUGGCAUAUAGAUUACACUCUUGGACUUAGAACGUAUGAUUGACGUGGUUGGACAUAUCGACAUUAAGUGACAUAGGCUAGAGUGUAUACAAAUAGUAAGCUAAUGUCAUAAAGCGGCAUUAGGCUUGGACUAGAUAUGAGUUUAGCAAGCUAAUGUCAUAAAGCGGCAUUACACUUGAUGGAUAUGCAAAUUGCAUGUGCAUGCUAUUAUUAUGAGAAUUAUGCCAAGUUGAUAGCUGCAUUGGGAAGAACAUACAUGUAGCAAUAUGAGAGCACGCUAGAGAGCAUGUGUAUUAAUCUAUUAUUGAUAGAACAAGCUAGCGUCAUAAAGAGACAUAGAAUGUGAAUUGAGCUUAGAUUAUAGCAAUGUUUCAGUGUCAUAAAGAGGCACUAAACAUAGUGAAUGUGGGAACUUCACCUUGAGAUUUGGACUUAGUAAAGCUAAGGUCAUUGACAUUGAAUUAUCGAACGGUUAAACCUUCACUUGAGGCAUAGACUAGACACUGGGGUUGCUAGUGUGCAUUUCCAUGUUAGAGACAUGAUGACUGUUGAGUUGCAUUUCCAUGUUGGAGACAUGACGAUUGGACUAUUGAGGUUUUGACCAUGCUUGCUUUCCAUUUGUGCUCAUACGCACAUGCUUGUGAGGGUCGCUCCCCACAAGCCGGCACUCCGGAGUUAGCCUACGCGACUUAUGUUCGCCCGUGCGGUAUCGAGUAGCCUACGGGGCCUGGAGGGAUAGACUCAUUCCUAGAGUAGGAAUGCUGGAGCUACCACUGGCACUUAGGCGGCACAAGCCGGACUACACCCGUGUAGAUCCUGAAUGAGAUUGAACCAGAAUACUAAACAACAAUUGACAAUCACUACUAGAUAGGUUAUAGUAGUUGGAUUUUCUUGAUAUGCUAUGGCAUAGUGUUGGACAUUUGGGCUUAGAGUAUGCUUGACAGUAUCGCUUAUUACAUUGUAGUAUUCUUGGUUGCUAUGAUAGUACAUACUAGAUAUGUAGUGGGCUCUAGAAUAUAUAUCACACUUUAUAGCAUUACUUGUUGCAUCAUGAUACAUUGUUUAAGUUUUGGGCAUAUUGGAUCAUGUAGAGUAGAUGUACUCCAUGUUGACAUUCAGAAUACUUGUGGCAUAGUAGAGUAGCAUUUUAAUUUCAUGCUUCAAUUACUGUUGAUAUUUCCUGUUAUCAUUAUUUGCUCGUUUGGGGCCUAGUGGUGCGAUUUGAUGCAGGUCAGUAAUUGCCCACUGGGAACUAUAAUUUAUAGUUCUCACGCCCCCUGUUUUAUGUUUCCUUUCAGUGCCUUCCACUCCGGGAGAGGCUCGGGAUCGCGGAAAAGGUUUCGCCUCGAGUUAGCUAUCGAGGGUCUUGGCGUUAGGUGGUCCACAUCUCUUUUGUUUUCUUUUGGAGAGGUUGUGAGAGUUUUGUACCUGAUUAUAGAGACCACCCUAUUUUUGUAUCUUGAGACUUAUGAUGUAUCAGUUUACUUUAUGCUUAGUAGUAUGACUUUCUUUUGAUUCUACAUAAUGUUAGAACCUAGCUAUAUACUUGCUCUGAUAUCUCUAGUUGUAGAUCUUCUCAUGCUUUACUCUUCCGUUUUUGUGUAGACGCCUUAUAUGUGUAGACAUAUGGCGGGUCUGGGCGCGCACCGGGCGGGCCUAUGCCGGGUCCCGGGGCGUGACAAAAGAUUUCUAACCCUAGCUCACUCCUAGCUUGGUUUGGAGCUUCUAGAGAGGUUAGUAGUUUUGAUCUUUCAUUUGAUUCAUGUUUUGGUAGUUUUUUUUAGGGAAAAACCUAGAAAUGAGAAUCUAGGGUUUUAUUUGGGGUUUCUUGAUUUGAGGCUUUUGAGUUGGAAUUGAUGGGUGUAGAACACUCUUAUAGAUUGGAUUUGAAGCUUUCUAGCUUCGAUAUGGGCUUUGAUCAAGUUCUUCUUGACCCAAGGUAUCUUUACACUUUAGUAUGUGUAAUUUUCGAAGUAGUCGUUUUGUAGCUUUUAAUCCUUUAGAAUUUCUCUUAGGGUGCUAGAAGCUUGGGGGACAACUUCGUUCGAAGAAAAGAAAGGGUUCGAAGUGCUUCCGAUGGGUUUGAUCUCACCGAAAUGGGUGAACUCCCCCUAUGUCUUCCUUAUGAUUUUAAGACAUAUUUAGAUGCUUAUUCAUACUUAAUACGACAUGCUAAAAUUUAUGAAAACAUAAUACAUACAUGUUAUGUAUAGUCAAAUUUGAUGCUCUAUGUUGUAGAGGCUUAUAUGUGAACUUGUGCACGAACUAUCACUAUUUGAUGAUUCUUUUUUAUGCAACCAUAGAAAGCAUGUUAGAGCAUGAAUGAUGGUAUAACUCUUAGGGGGUGUCUAGUGAAUGGCUUAGCAAAGUGAUUAUCUCACAUGAUGAACAAUAUACUUGUGACGACAAGGACAUGUGACAUUGCGACCUAGUGAAUAACAAGGCUAGACAUGAAACUAAGCAUGUUGCAUUUCAACCUAGUGGGAUGCCUAGGGCUUGAUAUUAUGACAAUGUAUUGACUUUGAGAUUGAUAGUGUCACGCCCCGGGACCGGCGGAGGCCCUCCCGGUAGCGUGCCCAGACCCGCCAUAUGUCUGCACAUAUAAGGCGUCUACACUAAAAGCGGAAGUAAAAGCAGGAGGUAGAACAAAUAAAAGUAGCGAAAUAACUAGCAAUUACUGAUAUCAGAGCAAGAAAAGUUCUAUCAUCUAUACCAAAGUAAAGGAAAUAAAGCUAGUCAAACAAGGAUAACCAUAAGUAGAACACUAUCUGUCUCAAAAGUACAAAAAUGGUGGUCUCUAGUACACUGGUAAAACUCUCAACCUCUCGCAAAACGAAAUACAUCGAGAGGUAGACCACCUAACAACUCGUCCUUCGCUGAAGAGCUAGCUGGAAGCGAUGCCCUUCCCUCGGUCCCUGGCCUCACCUGGCGUGGAAGGCUCUGAAAAACAUCGAGAAAAAGAGGGCGUGAGAACUAUAAUUUAUAGUUCCCAGUGGGCAAUUACUGACCUCAGCUCAGUGCACCACUAGGCCCUAAAGGAAAGGAUAAGUCUAACAAUAAGAGUAACGAGUAAAUUGCAUAUUAGAAAGCAUAAUAAUUAGGAUGCUAAGCUACAACUUGCAAUUAAACAUGGCAUUCCUAAUGCGACUUUAUCUUGUCAUGGAUAUAUAUGUUCACAAGUAAUAUCAUGCUUUACUUUAUACAGAUAUGAAAGUAAUACAUGGUCAUGACUACAAUGCAUAUAAGGAUGCAAUAAACAACAUCUUCUAGCAUACUACAUAUAUGUAUGAAUACCCAAAUGUCCACAACUAUGCUAGAAGGAAGUCCAAGUGAUCCUACUACUACUCUCAGACUAGUAGUGUUCAUAAUAAACUCAACACCGUGUCGAUUUCCAUUUCCAAUUAAGGACCUACCAAAGGUAGUCCAGCUUGUGCCGCCUAAGUGCCUGUGGUAGCCCAACAUCCCUACUCUUGGGAUGUGUCUGUCCCACUCGACCCCGUAGGCUUCUCAAUACCGCACGAGCGAACAUAGGUCGCGUAGGCUAACUCCGGAGUGCCGGCUUGUAGGGAGCGACCCUCACAAGCAUGUGCGAAUGAGCACAAAUGGCAAACAAGCAAGGUCACUGUCUCAAAUACUCUAUCCGCAUGUCUCUAACAUGGCAAGGUCACUAGCAUCCCAAGGAUCUAGCCCAAUGUCUCUAAGUGAUGUCCCAACACUCACUUGCUUAGUGCCUCUUUAUGACACUUAAGCAUCACACUGAUCAAGCUCGAUUCUUGUUCUAUGUUUCAUUUAAACAUUAAUACUAAUGACUACUAUAGCCCGGGCCCAAUGCCUCUUUAUGACAUUGGCCCAAUUCUCAAAUAGUCCAAGUUCUCAAGCCCUCUCUAGGCUUCUAAAAUUCCUAAUGUCCCAAUUGGCAUAUAGGUUAAAUGCAAGAGAGCAAGAUCCGUUUUCAUAAUAGGGAUCAUGGUUCCCAAUCAUAACUAGAAUGCUAAGUCUCACAUGCAUGCACUCUACCACAUAGGGGUCUAAAAUUUCACUAUACAUAAUAUAUGCAUGUUAAGCAUUCUAAAAUUCAUAUUAAAUACAUUUAACAUGGAAAUGCAUGAAUUUCUAUUUUACGAAACAUAUUUGCCAAAUAUGAGCAUUUCUCAUAUCAUAGGCUAGGUCAAACCCACCGAACCGUCGCGUGCUCCUUCGAUUCGCCGAACGGAGUUGUCCACGAGUCUCAAAAUACCCUAAAAGUAAUCAGCGAAGAGAUACGAGAGCAUUACGACCAACCAAGAGAUCAAACAUUAACCUAGAAGCAAAAAGGGCCAAAAUUCACCUCAAGAGGAGAAAUCUCUUCCAAAGCUCCAAAAGAGAGCUAGAACCCUUCCAAUCCAAGCCCAAGGAAGGUUCUAAACCAAUCAAUCUAGCCCCAAAAGCCCUAGAUCAAAAAGCCCCAAAAAUCAACCCUAAUACCCAUUCUAGGGUUUCAAAUGGCAAAAUCUACCGAAACAAGAAUCAAAGGGUAGAAUCAAAGUACUAACCUCUCUAGAUGCCUCAAAACAAGCUCCAAAUCUUCUAGGGUUGAAGAUUGGUCCACCACCAAGCCCUACAAGCAAGCUCCAAGCCUUGCAAAGGUGGGAAAGAGAGAAAGGGGUUGAGCUCCAAGCUCCCUCAAGCUAGCUCCUCUUCUUCUUCUCCUCCUUCUUCUUCUUCUUCUCUCUCUAGAAAGUGUAGGGAGAGGGUGAGAAUGAGAGAAUGAGAGAGGGAAGAGGAGGAAAUGGCUAAUAAGCCCAUCUAGUGUAACAAAAUCCGGAGAGGCCCCUCAAAAACCCGAUAUUGCAACAGCCCGAACUGGGCAGUUUUCGCCCAGAGGGACCGGUCUCUCCCCAGCAGGGACCGGUCUCUCGCUGCGAACCCGAAAAUCCAUCGUUCGGGAACCGGUCUCUCCCUGUGCGGGACCGGUCUCUCACUGCGUAGACGCGCUCGGGGACCGGUCUCGCCCGCCAGGGACCGGUUGCCUCAGGGCUGCCGCAACACUGUUCACUGGGGGACCGGUCUCUCCUUCCAGGGACCGGUCCCCGAGAGUAAAAACUCUCAGGACUUGUCCAGAAUUUCAGUUUUCGAAUUUUUUAGGUCGGAAAAUAUUCUACGACCCUCCACCAAGUGUGGAAAAGCUCGAAACACAUCCAAAUACUCGAACCUCGCAAUUUGCAAAGGUCCAGUGUGUUACAUUCACCCCUCCUAAAAAGAGUUUCGUCCGCGAAACUCAAAAGGACAAAAUACCUCAAGCCUCCAUCUGAAAAAGAUAGGGAUAGCGCUCCAGCAGUGCGCUCUCUAACUCCCAAGUGGCCUCGCGUUCGUCAUGGUUGCUCCAAAGCACCUUCACGUAAGGAAUUUCUCGGUUCCGCAAUCUUUUCACCUCGCGAGCCAAAAUCCUCAAGGGUUGCUCUUCAAAGCUCAAAUCAUCCCGCAGCUUCAAAGGUGUAGUAUCCAACACGUGAGCCGGAUCGUGGAUGUACUUCCGAAGGACCGAUACAUGGAACACAUUGUGUACACCCGAUAGGUUUGGCGGUAGAGCGAGUCGAUACGCUACCGGGCCUACACGCUCCAAAACCUCAAACGGUCCAAUGAAUCGGGGGCUCAACUUGCCCCGGAUUCCAAAUCUUCGAAUUCCUUUGGUCGGCGAGACUUUCAAGAACACAUGGUCUCCAAUCUGAAACUCCAAGUCUCGUCGACGCCGAUCAGCAUAACUCCUCUGCCUACUCUGGGCCGUCAACAAUCUCACCCGAGCAAUGCGAACCUUGUCCUCUGCUUCCUUGAGCACAUCAGGGCCUAAUGCCAAUCUCUCACCAACUUCAUUCCAAUGAAGUGGCGAUCUACACUUCCGUCCAUAGAGUGCCUCGAACGGUGCCAUCUUGAUGCUUGCUUNGAUUAAUGUUACCACCUUCGGCCAUUAGAUAACAAUUUAUCUAGAUCCCGCUCUAAUACCAAUUGAAAGUUUUGAGGAGCCCAAGGAUCUAUCUAGAUUGUAUCUAUCACCUAGAGGGGGGGUGAAUAGGUGUAACGGCCAAAAACCACAAAUCUCGAUGCAAUAAAAAUAAAUGCAGAAAAUAAAAAGCACACCAAGAUUUACGUGGAAAAACUCCAAUUUGGAGAAAAAUCCACGGGACCAACACGCGAAAAAAUAAUCCACUAAGAGAAAAGAUUACAAGGUGAUUUACCGACUCCACGGACUCAACCUCUCUUGACCUCCUAUGGAUCUCGCGCAAUCCUCUGGGUUGUCCACACCCUCACGUCCGUAUCCACGAACGCCCCGACUUCGAAUCCACGAAGCUCCAAUCACGCCGAAUCCACGACGCCACUCGAAUCCACGAGCCCACGAUCCGAACCCACGAACCGCCGUCAAACACGCCGAAUCCACGACGCCGUCAUGAAGAGCAUCAUGAUUAUGGUGAUCCUUUGCUUAGGAGUAUCGUAGAAAACCAGUGAAAGAAACUCCAAGCAAAGCGGAGAUCAAAUCGACAUAUAGAUUUCAAAUUACAAUAUUCCGAUUUGACCUAAAAGAGGCUAAUAUGUAGAAAAUAGGUUUUAGAUGAAAUCCAAGCCUCUAGGGUUUCUCAAACAUGUAUUCUUAUGAUGCUUGAUCUGUUAGAGAAGCCCAAUAGCUUAUUUAUAGACUUUAGAAUCAAUUGGAGUCGGAUUAGAAAGAUUUCACGAUUUUACAUUGUGUACCGGUACACUUUAAGCUGUCACCGGUUACACAAUGACGGAACGAAAAACCUGACGAAACAGUGGAACUGGUUACACCCCUGAUGGUCGUACCGGUACACAUUUUGUACCGGUACACUUCUGAUGCUGUACCGGUACACAUUGCAAAUUUUCGCCGUUUCGGGUUUUGCACAGUUCCAAUGCACUUUCUAAUCCGUUAGACAUUGGUAACAUGAUUCUAAUGACUACAAUUAAGUAUGAAUCACCAUAACAUGAAUUUAUACUUUACCUGGACAUCGUGAUUCACUGUGAGUUAUUUUCCAACUUCUUCGAAAUCUUGAAUUCUUCGAUCUUCGACGAUAUGCACCGGUUCUUCAAGACUCCGACUCAUUUCACGAAACUUGCCAAUACACAAGACUUAACAAUCUCCCCCUUUGGCAAUUUCGUGACAAAACUCACACCAACUCAAAAGAAAACAAUUAAAGAAAACGAAGUUCAAUUGUCAUCACCAAAACAUUGAACUCCUCGCGUGUAAUCCAAAUACAUUUUGAAACUCAAACCUACAUCAAGAACUCCUAAAACAAACUCUAUGACUUAGACACAACUAGGAGUCUUGAAGUCUUGAUUUCCUGCAAAACAAUUCAUCCAAAAAUGAUUAAUCUUAAAUUCUUAUACCUUCUCCCCCUUUGUUCUUCACACCUUCUCCCCCUUUGUUCUUCACAUCUCAAUCACAUCUCCCCCCUUUGCUCUUGAACUCAUCAUUCUCUUGCUUAGUUCAUCUCGCCUGUUGACAUCUAUGCUCUCCCCCUGUUCUACGCUCUCCCCCUUUUUGUCAAAAAUUGCCAAAAGAAAACAAAUAGAGAGAGAAAACAUACUAGAAAGCAUAAAAGUAGACUAGUCAUAGUUACAGGCCUAAAGCAAAAGUAAAAACAAGCGACAGAAAGAUAAGCAAGCAAGUCUAAAACAUCGUCCUAGAAAGUAAGCAUAAAAAGUAACAAGACAAAGCUCGAGGAAGACAUCACUCCGUGUCCUCGUCAUCAUCAUUAUCAUCAUCUCCUGCUCCAGCUCCAGAUCCCCCAGCCUCAGGAGCAUCACCAGACGGUGGAAUGAGUGGAUGUCGUGAAGUCGAUCUGGUAUAAGUCGUCGGCUCAGCAGGAAAGAUAUCAUCAUGCCUACAUCCCAUUUUCUCCAUCAUUCUCUUCAUCCCCAUUUCCACCUUUCUCGCAAGAUCAGCUAAUUUCUUCUUCAUAGAGCGCACCUCGUGAUGAAGCGAUUCCACAGUAACCACUCCCCCUGAACUAGAAGAUCCCUCGUGUGUUGCUCUAGGUGGAGGUGCGGAACUAGUAGCUCCUCUGGAGGAUCCUUUGGUUUGCUGAAACGUCUUCAAUGUGCUCCUUAACUUUGCCCAAGUUACAGCAUCGAUAGGUCCAAGUCCAAAAUCAUACUUCUCACAUGACACGUCAAUACCAUUUUCCUGAAGAAUCCUCGUGAUCAACAAUGGAAACGGAAGAAGAUCACGACGGACCGGAGACUGUAUGACAUGAACCAUUCGUUGCCACAUAAGAAAAGGAAUAUUGAUGUUCAAUCCACCUGCUUCCUCAGGAUGUCCAAGAAGAUACAGAAGCACAAGACGAUCCCAACGAAUUCUUUUCGUUCCUAUCGUCGGUUGAACAUUGUAACUCAUCACCAAUGACAGUAGAUGAUAUUCAGGUAGCAAAUCCUUAGAUUCCACAUAUGAAUGAUUAGUCCUAACUCCUUCCUUGCAUAUAGCAUGAAUAACAGUCUCCCAGUGAGUUGCAGACUGAAAAUGCCCUGUCGUAUAGUGAAGGCCGCUAGUAUCAACAUGCAUACCUAAGAGUUUGUUAAGGAUUUUGUAUUGGCAAGUUUCGUGAAGUGAGUUGGAGUCUUGAAGAAUCGAAGCGAAUUGACAAAGAUCAAAGAAUUCAAGAUUUCGAAAAAAUCAGAAAAUACCUCACGACAUGAAUCACGAUGGUCAGGUAAAGUUUUAACUCAUGUUAUGGUGAUUCAUACUUAAUUAUAGGCAUUAGAAUCAUUUAAUCAAAGUUUGGUUAAUUAGAAAGUGCUUUGGACAAGUGCGGAACCUGAAACGAUGCAAAACACGAAAAAUUGCAUUGUGUACCGGUACAGCAAUCAAGCGCGUACCGGUACAGCCACUGACUUGGCUUCGUAUUUCUGUUCCGUCCUUGUGUAACCGGUGACAGCCUUUCGUGUACCGGUACACAGUGUAAAACCGUGAAAACUUUCUAAUUCGACUCCGAUUGAUUCUAAAGUCUAUAAAUAAGCUAUUGGGCUUCUCUAACAGAUCAAGCAUCAUAAGAAUACAUGUUUGAGAAACCCUAGAGGCGUGGAUUUCAUCUAAAACCUAUUUUCUACAUAUUAGCCUCUUUUAGGUCAAAUCGGAAUAUUGUAAUUUGAUAUCUAUAUGCCGAUUUGAUCUCCGCUUUGCUUGGAGUUUCUUUUCCUGGUUUUCUACGAUACUCCUAAGCAAAGGAUCACCAUAAUCAUGAUGCUCUUCAUGACGGCGUCGUGGAUUCGGCGUAUUUGACGGCGGUUCGUGGAUUCGGAUCGUGGGCUCGUGGAUUCGAGUGGCGUCGUGGAUUCGGCGUGAUUGAAGCUUCGUGGAUUCGAAGUUGAGGCGUUCGUGGAUUCGGACGUGAGGGCGUGGACAACCCGGAGGGUAGCGCGAAGAUUCAUAGGAGGUUAAGAGAGGUUAAGUCCGUGGAGUCGGUAAUCACCUUGUAAUCUUUUCUCUUAGUGAAUUGUUUUUUCGCGUGUUCGUCCCGUGGGUUUUUCUCCAAGUUGGAGUUUUCCCACGUAAAUCUCGGUGUGCUUUUUAUUUUCCGCAUUUAUUUUUAUUGCAUCGAGAUUUGUGGUUUUUUUUUUGUCGUUCACCUAUUCACCCCCCUCUAGGUGAUAGAUACAAUCUAGAUAGAUCCUUGGGCUACUCAAAACUUUCAGAGUUCUCCAAUAGUAUCAGGGGUGACGUGAAUCUUCUUCUUACGUACAUAAGUCUCAAACACAUAAGUCCCAGUCUCCUCAUCCUCUCCAAGUACUACUCCGUUCAUAUAGAACUCUCUAAUUAGCUCUACACAAAAUGGAGCACGAGCUGGAACCCGUCCAACAGGCUCAAUAGGGACCCUUUGCAGCAAACGGCCAAAUUCUGGUACUUCCUUGACUAGCUCAGUGAAGUUGACAUAACGCUCAGCCAGAACUGAUCGGCUUGAAUAAAUCUGCUGUCGCGCUAAUGAAGCCUCUGCAGCACGUUUGGAGCGCCUUUCACUUACACGAGGACCACCUCCUCUUGAGGAUUCUCCUGCUAAGCCUUUUCCUUUAGCCGCGCGAGUAGCAGCUUCUUCAGUAGCUUCAGGCGAGCUGGCCUGAUAGUCAGGAUCUGAUCCAGAUGACUCAUCGGCAGUACGAGUCCUCUUUGACUGACCACGUCUCCCUCGACCACCACCGCGACCACGACCGGCGGCCAUAAGCACCAAAAGCAGAAUUACGAACGAGAAUGCCAUUUUCCUACAUGAAAAUAAGCCAAUCAUGAAGAAAAAUUUUGAAAAAUCUGCAAAAAUAGCGACAAACAUUCCAAUAUCACUAGAAUGCAACCAAAUGCUAUUUCUAACAAGAUCAUGCAACAAAUUUUUUCAACAAAUGACACUUUUAAAAAGAAAUCCCGAAAUUACAUGAAAAUCAAAGCUUAGAACAUGGAUCAGCGAAAAAUAACGUGUUUUAAUGUGAUUCAAGUGUUCUAGAAGCAAGAUAAUGUCAUUAAGCACUGAUCUACAGCAAAAAUUGCAUCAAAAACGAUCAACAACAAAGAUCUAUGCAUGAACACGAAAUUUUUCGAAAAAUAAACAUGAACACGAUGAAACAAUUAAAUCCAUGCGAAAUACUCACAGAUUUUUGAGGGAAAACGAGUAGAUCUGGAAGAGGAAGGCACCAGGAAUUUUUAGAGAGAGAAAGAGCGAAAUUUGGAUUAGUUUAGAGUGAGAAAUAAAUCUCUGUAACCGGUUAUAUUGCUGCGGCUACAGUGAUUUGUACCGGUACACGGGAUUUUGUACCGGUACACUUUGCCAGAUUUCGAAAAUAUGAAUUUAAAAAUCCAUCAAAUUAAAUUAAUUUCAUAUAAAUUAAAGAUUUUACUCCAAAAAUUAUUAUAAUGAAAAUAAUAUAUUAUAAAAUUUCAAAAAUCAUCAAAACAUCAAAAUUUUAUUAUCAAAAAUGAUUUAAUGAGUCACAACCAUCAAGAUGCAAAUUGAUGAAAAAUGAUUCUUAGAAAUUCAACAAAAUUGACACCAAUUUGUAAUAACAUGUUCAAUAUGGAGAUUCAACCAAAAUGAUACCGGGGGUGGCUCUUUGAGCAUCUUUUUCAAACUAACACCUUAUUACUCCGAAAAAAACUCUAGAAUAUUUAUAUAUUUUUUUUUCAACCUUUUUCGGCUUUUUCAAUUUAAUCUUCAUGUGGUAGCUUCACACACUUGCUGGACGACCGGGGUGGUAGCUCUUUCCUACAUGUGGUGGUAGUUUUCACACUCCAUUUGGAUGUAACUCUUUCCACAUCUUUUAAACAUAGGAGUUUCUCCUUUUUAUUUUAUUUAUAAUUUCAAACUCCCCCUAAAUUAGGCAAUCUCACAAUUGAAAAUAUUUUGACAAAUUUUAGUCUAUUAGAGAAUAUCCAUUCAUCAUAUCCAACACUCACAACCAAGAUGAAUUAAUCACCAAAAAAUCAAAUUUGAUUUCAAAAUUUUGAUGAAUUUAUGCAAUAAGAAAUCAUAUAAUAAAUUAUCGUCAAAAUAAUAAAUAGUGGAGUAAAGACGAUAAUUAAUAUGAAUUUAACUUAAAAUGAUUGUGAAGUUAACGCCGUCUAAACAACUUUAAAACAAUAUUUCUCCUCAAAAUCAAGAUUCUCCUCUCUCAAAAAAAUUGAAUUCCAAAAUACCUUUCCUCAAAAUGAUUUUUAAUCAAACAAAAUUUAAAGCACCAAGAAUCAUUUGAACAUGUAAUGCAAUGAAUAAAAUUAUGCAAUAAGCACCUAUCAAAGCAUUACACUAAAGAUCAAAAUGACUAAGACGAGGAGCAAGGAAAGAUAUCACCUUUCCGGAUCCAAACUUGUCGGAUCUUUGGUUUUCUCGGCUUGUCAAUGUUUGGUGCCGUUUGCUUAGUUUUGAAAUCGAUCGUUGGUGGUUUCUUCGGUUGAGACUUUGGUAGAACUUGGCGUUGAAGUUUAGAAUUCCGGUUUGCUUUAAGAUUCGGUUGGAUUUGGCGUUGCACAUUAGAACACCGAUUCUUUUGAGGUACUCGACUAAUUUGAUUUUCCUUUUGAUACCGCGGGGGAAGUCGAGUUGUAGACGAUGUCGAUUGAGGUUUUGAGAGUGUCGAUCGAUGUGUAGACAAUGCCAAUUGUUUCUUCUUUUCCUUAUUUGGGCAAUUCCUUUUAAUAUGUCCGUUGACGCCACAUUUAUGACAUACUUUGCUUUUCGAAGUUGUUGAGACAUUAGAAGAUGCGGUUGAUGCCUUCUCAAUAUAUGUGCGUUCAUAACCGAGUCCAAGCUUGUUCGUUUGACCCAAUCCGAGCAUAUGGUCCAAUUUCUUUGAUCCGGAAGAAAAUCGUUGAAGAUCGGAUUGGAGUUGACGAACUUGAUCGGUCAAGACUUGAUUGGAUUUGUAUGAUUCCUCGAAUUGUUGUUCCAAAAAUCCAACCUUGUCUUUAUAUGAUUUGAUCGUUGAUUCCGCUUCAUUAAGCUUUCCGAGGAGGUCCGAAUUCGUUUUCAAAAUUGAUUCCCUUUCCUCCUCGAGAGCUUUGUUCGUAGUUUUCAAGUUGUUGUUAUCCUCUUCAAGAUUCAACAUACGAUGCCUCAACUUCUUAUUUAAUUUAGCCAUCUUCUUUGAUUCAAUAAGAAGUAGGUUGUAAGCUUCCGCUAUAUCCUCGUCGUUCGAAUCCUCCCCGCUUUCCCCGUUGUCGCUCGAUGAAUCAUGCGAGGAAAAAGAAACAUUAGAAUUAGUAGCGAUAGAGGAUAAACACACAACAUUUGACGAAGGUGUAUUAGCAAAUAAGGCAAUUUGAUCAUUCUUCUCUUCGUCACUUGACGAUGAAUCACUUGAUGUUGAAUCAUCCCACGUCUUUGCUUGCAUAGCCUUUUGUCUAUACGUCUUCUUCGAAGGACAAUCCGUCGCAAUGUGGCCGUAGCCUUUGCACUUGUAGCAUUGGAUCUCUCCUUCAAAUUCAUCCUUUUCCUUUGAAGACUUUGCACGGUUUUUAUCCUUAGACUUUGAAGAUGAAGAUGAUUUAGGCAAAGAUUGUCGCUUAGAUGUUGAAGCCUUAUUCAAUCUAUUCUUGUUCCGGAAAUUUCGACGAAACUUCUUCGUGAGGAGCGCUAAUUGAUGUUCAAAAUCCGUAAUUGAUAACUCGUCGUCGGAACUCGAGUCUUCGUCCUUCUCCUUUGUAGAUUUCAAUGCAACCCCUGUGCUUUUAGAGAAAGACUUGGAAGAAGAUUGAUUAGUAGGAAAAGUCAUCUCAUACGUUUGCAAAGCACCUACUAAUUCCUCGACUUUCAUCUCGUCCGGAUGUUUCACCGUUUCGAUUGCGGCUACUUUUGCCCGAAAACGUUCCGGAAGAGUUCGAAGAAUCUUUCGCACAACUUUAGCAUCCGGGAUUUUCUCCCCCAAGUUAGCGCAUGUAUUGACCACGUCUUGUAGACGCGUAUAGUACUCGGUAAAGGUCUCGUUUUCAUCCAUCGAAAUUGAAUCGAACUUGCUAGUUAGCAUUUGCAAUUUUUGGACCUUUACUAAGCUUGUUCCUUCAUGCGUAACUUGUAGAGUAUCCCAAAUUUCUUUGGCGGUCUCACACGCCGAAACGCGAGUAAACUCCGUUUGAGACAAUGCAUUAAAUAAAGAGUUUAUGCCCUUGCCGUUAAACGAAGAUGACUCGUUUUCUUCUUUCGUCCAUUUGUUCCGUGGUUUUGGCUUUUCAACAUUAUCGACCUUUUCUAUCGGAUGUUUCCACCCAAAUUCAAUUGAUGCAAACCGCUAUCGGAUAGAAUUAGAAAAGCUCUCAUGCGAAGUUUCCAAUAAGCAUAAUUACGUGCGUCGACGAGCGGAGGUCGAUUAUGUUACACCUUCGGCAUUAGAGUAACUAAUUGUAUUAGAUCCCGCUCAAUACCAAUUGAAAGUUUUGAGGAGCCCAGAGGAGUCUAUCUAGAGUUGUAAUCUAUCACCUAGCAGCGGGGGUGAUAGGUUUAGUACGCCAAAAACCACAAAAUCUCGAUUGCAUAAAAAAAAUGCUGAAAAUAAAAAAGCACAUCCAGUAGCGGGAGAAAAACUCAAUUUUGAGAAAAACCCACCGGACCAAACACGGCGAAAAAAAUCACUAAGAGAAAGAUUACAAGGUUGACUUUACCGACUCCACGGACUCAACCUCUCUUUCCUCUAUGGAUCUCGCCGCCAAUUCCUCUGGGUUGUCCACACCCUCACGUCGUUCACACGCCCGGAUUCCGAAUCCCCACGAAGUCCAAUCACGCCGAAUUCCCGCGCACUCGAUCAACGAUGCCACGAUGACGACGAACCGCGUCAAACAGACGUCCGAAUUCACGACCCGUAUGAAGAGCAUCAUUUGAUUAUGGGUGAUCCUUUGCUUAGGAGAGUAUGUAGAAAACCAGUGUAAAGAACUCCAAGCAAAGCGGGGAUCAAAAUCGAAAUAUAGCAUUUCAAAUUUACAAUAUUUCGAUAUUGACCUAAUAAAGAGGUAUAUGUGAAAUAGGUUUUAGAUUGAAAUCAAGCUCUAUGGUGUUUCUCAACAUGUAUUCUUAUGAUUCUUGGAUCUGUUAGAGAGCCAAUGCUUAGUUUAUAGACUUAGAUCAAUUUGGAUCGAUUAAAAAGAUUUUCACGAUUUACUUGUGUACGGUCACUUUAGCUGUCACCCGGGUUAACAAUGGACGGCAACGAAAAAACCUGACGAAACAGUGGACCGUUAACACCCCCUGAUUAUGUGCUACCGGUGCACUUUUUGUACGGUACACUUCCUGUGCUCAACAGGUACACAUUGCAAUUUCGCACGUUUGGUUUUGCACAGUUCCAUAAUGCACUUUCUAAUCCGUUAGACAUUUGUAAGAUUCUAAUGAUACAAUUAAGUAUGAACACCAUAGAUGAAUUUUACUUUACUGGACAUGUGUUCAUGUGAGUUUAUUUCCCAUACUUCUUCGAAUCUGAAUUCUUUCGAUCUUCGAGUUAUGCAGCCGGUUCUUCAGACUCCGACUCUAUUUCAUCGAAACUGUGCAAUACAGUCAAGACUUAUAACAGGAUAAAAAACGGGAGUUGUUGAUAAUCGAUAAGGAAGUAGUACCCCGUGCAAUUCGACAGAUUCAUCAAGUUAAACUGUUGCGGUCUUUCACUAUAGUCAAGUAGUGUGGAUGGUAUAAAUGCGCACCGAUCGUCAAACUAUCCACAAUCACCAUAUAGAGUCAUACCCGGCCUGUACGAGCAUCAUCACAAGUCCCAUGGUAUCAUUUUUCAUUUCCAAACUUUGAACGGUAGGCUCUGCAGAUCCUGCAGGGAACUCGUAGUGCUCAGCCUUCACCUGUUGGCAGUCAAUCUAGCAACAAAACUUCACCAACAUCUUUUUCAUCCCGGAGACCACCAGUAAAGCAACUUCAAGUCCUUUACAUCUUGGUGCCCCGGAAUGUAUAGCAUACGGAGAUCGGUUGUGCUUCUUGAAGUAUAUUCCUCUUUAUGCCCAUGUCCGCAGGUACAAAGUUUCGCGGAAAGCAUCCAAUCAUCACCGUCUAAAGUGGGAGUCACCGUGCUAACCAUUAACAUCCUUAGCUCGAAUUUUGGCAAUACCGAGUUCGGAAGUUGUUUUCUUAUAAUCCUUUCCAAAAUGUAUAGGUGCACCACCAAAUCAUCAGUUCAAAUUGUAUUAGGAGCAACCACUCAACUCAACGCUUCAUCUGUCGAUCAACGGCGGUUUGGGCUAACCAUUAAGCAUCCUAAUUUUUGCCGUCAUUUCCGAUUAGGCAUCUGCCAACAACGUUUAGCCUUGCCCGGGUGGAACAGUAUCGUCUCAAUCAUAAUCUUUGGUAGUAGCUCCAACAUCAUGCGUGCUCAGUUCAAAACUCCUUCGGAGUGAUAUUAAGAUACUGUUUAAGUUUGUGACCGUAUGAUACCUUCACAUCGCUCGCCAUAGAGCGUGAUGGCGCCAUAGUUCAUGCAAAGACUACGGCCGCUCAACUCCAAGGCCGAUGAGUGGGUAAUUCUUUAUACUCCUUCCACUUUGAGGCGGGAGAUUGCAUACGCGAUCAUUUCCCGUCCUGCAUCAAAACACAGCCCAAUCAUAAGGAAGCAUCACUGUAAAUCAACAUACCUGCUUUUUUCCCGAAAAGCACGUCGACAAGGUAAGGAUGGGCAGUCGUCAAGUCGCUGCUUCAACUCUUGGAACUCCUUCACAGCAUCAGUCCAAAAUAAACUACGGUACCUAUGCGUGAGUCUCGUUGAGGGAGUAGAUAAUUUUCGCAAAUCCCUCGAAAACCAAGUCCGUAGUAGCGGCCAAACCAAUGAAGUCGCGUAACAUCUCGUCAAGCUCGUCGGCCUCGGCCUAAUCCUUGAUAGUUCGUUUUUCUCGGGAUCCGGCUAUGCCUGGAUCCUGAAUACAUGGCCCAAAAACGCAUCCUCUCUAAGCCAAUCACACUUUUUCAAUUGCGAUAGAGCUUCUCUUUCCCGAAGACUUGAAGUACAGUCUCAAGUGUCCUCGUGGAAUCCGCGUCACUCGUGAAUACACUAAGAUGUCGUCGAUAACACCACAACAAAAUCUGUCAAAUAAGUUGAAAACACGGCUUCAUCAGAUCCAUAUAAAGCUGCCGGAACGGAUUAGAGCGCCAAACGGCAUAACCGUAACUCAUAAUGUCCUUACCGUGUUCUAAAAGCCGUCUUCGACAUCAUCCUCAGGUUGAUCCUCAACUGGUGAAUUAUCGAUCGUCAAUCUUGGAAUCUACACACAUCCCUGUGAGACUGAUCAAAUAGAUAAUCAGAUCUCAGGUAAUGGAUACUUGUUCUAAUCGUGACUUUAUUGAGUUCACGAUAGUAUCGCAUAGCGAAGCGAUCAUCUUUCUAUGCUUCACAAACAAAACCGGUGCUCCCCAAGUGCACAUUCGGUCGCACAUAACCUUAUCAGGAGGUCAUGCAACUGUGCCUUCAGCACUGCUCUCAACUUCUGCUGGUGCCAUCUAUAGGCGCUUUGAAGUUGGAAGUAGUCCCCGGAAUGAGAUUUCCCAAAUCAAUCUCCUAUCAGGCGUCAUGCUGGCAAAGCUCCGCAAAGGAAACAAUCUAAAACUUCCGCACUACGGGGAUAUCUCAUCCUAGGGAGUGUCAUGCACAACCAAACACACAUUAGCAGUAGGCAACGCAGUUCUAUAAUCAAUGCCUAGCUCGAGAGGAGCUAAUCGUCAUCGGCAAUAGGAAGUCUGGCAUCCUCGCGUACACAACUCGCGCCACGGCUCUUUCUAAAUUCACCGUUGUCGGAUUCUUACAAUCAGAUGGUGGGCAAGUAUUGGUCAGCCCAUCCAUGCCAAACAAAAUCAUAAUUCCACCGCGUUUUUGUGCAAAGCUAGUAAGUCACGGGCAUGAUCAAUCUCAAUCCUAACAGGGGCAACUGGGGGCAAAUCCCCGAUGUCUAAGAGUGUCGGUACAACAAUCGUCCGGGUGCAACGCAAGCGAUACAAGUGGAGAUUGCAUGCAACUCUGCAAACAGGCCUGAUCAAUGAUGAAUGCGAGCCACCUGUAUCAAACAAAGCUCUAACUCGUAAUACCAUUGAAGUAUAAAAUGAUACUGCACCAGAUUCUCGGCUGACCGCCGCUCCUCAGUUGGGCCGCGCAUGCGCCGUGGGGCGCUCGCCUGACCCCUCCGCCUGCCGCAAAACUGAACGGCCGUCCUGACCUGGUAAUGCGCAGAAGAUGUCCUGGCUGGGCCUAGCGAUGCUCCGGUGAGAUUGCCGCGAUGGCGGCUGGCCAAUGGAACUCCUUCGGGCAGUCCGAUGGAAAGUGGCCAUCCGGCACACAGACAGCACCUGCCCCGGCUGCUGAGUAACACAUGCGCGGGGGUGAGGACCGCACGAUCAGCAGGGGAACCUGACGCGUCGGGUCCUCUCGCAUGAGUAGACUAGUCCACGUGCUGCGACUGGCUCCGCUCCUGGGGUGCCUCGGCGGCCUCCGUGAGUGCGUCUUGAGUUGCACCCUCAGCGCGGGCCUCUUGCCCUUGCCUUUAUCUAGGGUCCUCCGACGCUCCUGCAGAUCCGCCGCUCCUCCGCUCCACUAUUCGAAGAAGCCGUCCACAACCUCACCGGUAAGUCUGGAGGUUGGUAAGCACUGCACCAACCGAAGAUAGAAGGCCGCAAACCAGCCGCCUCAAAAGAUGCGGGCCUUGUCCUCCGCUCGGGCCUCAACACAACGGUACACCAGUGCUAGUAUCCGGGGGAGAACUCCCUCCCGUAUCCACCACUGACGCUCAUCUGGCGCAAGCUGCGCCAAAGUCCUGCUCCAUCUUCUCUGACAAGGCUGCUAGGAAAGUGAGUGGCCAGUCAGUAAGCUCCUUGAACCUAGUCCAAGAUAACUCGCUGCAGUCGGUGUUGGCGGUGUCCUGAAUAUUCCAACCACCAACGGUAGGGCCUGCGCCGUCCAGAAAGUGAGGUGGCAGCACAAACUUGAUCCCCGCUCUUCCACAAGGUGCUGUCUCGAUAACAGGGGCUUCUCAAGUGUGCAGCAACAUUUUCAACAUCCAGUGACUCGCGAGUUCUCGCACAUUCCAAGUCCUCAGGCUCACCUCCUGAACUCGCUGAGCGCGUCCAUAAUGCCGAAUCCUCGUCAGGCUCCCUCGAGCAUACGGGGAAAGCUGCCCCGUGUACUGGUCUCUGAACAGGUAUGCCAGCCACUCACUCCCGAGGUGCGGUCGCCGUGCCGCACGUGAGAACUGGGCAAGGCGGGAGUCUGCGCCUCGUGUGCGACGUCCACCACGGGUGCCUGGCGAGUGUGGGGCCUGGGGUCUCACCUCGAAGCUGCCGCCUGCUGCAGUAGGAGGUCCUCAAGAUGCUUCAUCCGCCGCCUCUGCGCUGAGCUACCUUAGGCCGUCGCUGGCCGCUGCUUCUGCGUGCGCCAACAGAUCAGUGAGAACUGCAGCUGGGCCUCAAGUCACGGACCUCGCUAGAUCCGGACCAGAUAGCGGAGGUCUCGACCUCCCUCGGGUGUGGCGCAUCAUCCGCCACCGGCAGACUUGCGAGCGCGUGUAAUCGCGCAUGUCAUACAGAACGACUAAUACAGGCAAAGUUAGCUAACCCGCACUAAUCGAGUCCCGCUCACAUAAAAAAACCCAAAUCACGUCACGCAACAGUAAAACAGUGUCCUUCACUACUAACUCCCGAUGUUACAUUGUCGGCCGCAACGUAACGCCUCCGCGAAGCUUAGAGCCAUACACUCCAAUUAACCUCUGACUUUUUAGAGUUGAUCCAUUGAACCCAAUCGUAAAUACUUUCGCUCACAGUCAAUUAGAUCUCGUCUCUCACGGGCCUAAUUCCUAUAGUUCCAACCGGCUAAGGUUGCGUAGGUCCACUAAGACUUCACCUAGGGCUCUGUCACCAAAUUAGAUCUGAUCGACCCCGGGACCGCGGAGCCCUCCGGUAGCGUGCCCAGACCCGCCAUAUGUCUGCACAUAUAAGGCGUCUACACUAAAAAGCGGAAGUAAAGAGGCAGGAAGAACAAAUAAAAGUAGCGAAAUAACUAGAAACUACUGAUAUCAGAGCCAAGAAAAGUUCUAUCAUCUAUACCAAGUAAAGGAAAAAAGCUAGUCAAACAAGUAACCAUAGUAGAACACUAUCUGUCAAAAGUACAAAAUGGUGGUCUCUAGUACACUGGUAAAAUCUCAACCUCUCGCAAACGAAAUACAUCGAGAGGUAGACACCUAACAACUCGUCCCUCGCUGAAGAGCUAGCUGGAAGCGAUGCCCUUCCCUUCGGUCCUGGCCUCACCGGCGUGGAAGGCUCUUGAAAAACAUCGAGAAAAGAGAGGCGUGAGAACUAUAAUUUAUAGUUCCAAUGGGCAAUUACUGACCUCAGCUCAGUACCACCACUAGGCCCAAAAGAAAAGGGUAAGUCUAACAAUAAGAGUAACGGUAAAUUGCAUAUUAGAAAGCAUAAUAAUUAGGAUACUAAGCUACAAUUGCAAUUAAACAUGGCAUUCCUAAUGCGAUUUAUUUGUUAUGAGUAUAUAUUGUUCACAAGUAAUAUCAUGCUUUCUUUAUACAGAGUAUGAAAGUAAUACAUGGUCAUGACUACAAUGCAUUAAGGAUGCAAUAAAAAACAUUUCUAGCAUACUACAUGUAUGUAUGAAUACCCAAAUGUCCACAACUAUGCUAGAAGGAAGUCAAGUAAUCCUACUACUACUCUCCGACUAGUAGUUGUUCAUAAUAAACUCAACACCGUGUCGAUUUCCAUUUCCCAAUUAAGGACCUACCAAAGGUAGUCCAGCUUGUGCGCCUAAGUGUUGUGGUAGCCCAACAUCCCUACUCUUGGGAUGUGUCUGUCCCACUCGACCCCGUAGGCUUCUCAAUACGCACGAGGAACACGGUCGCGUAGGCUAAACUCCGGAGUGCCGCUUGUAGGGAGGCGACCCUCACAAGCAUGUGGCGAAUGAGCACAAAUGGCAAACAAGCAAGGUCACUGUCUCAAAUACUCUAUCCGCAUGUCUCUAACAGGCAAGGUCACUAGCAUUCAAGGAUCUGCCCAAUGUCUCUAAGUGAUGUCCAACACUCACUUUGCUAGUGCCACUUUAUGACACUUAGCAUCACACUGAUCAAGCUCGAUUCUUGUUCUAUGUUUCAUUUAAACAUUAAUACUAAUGACUAAUAACCCGAGCCCAAUGCCUCUUUAUGAAUUGGCCCAAUUCUCAAAUAGUCCAAGUUCUCAAGCCUCCUCUAGGCUUCUAAAAUUCUAAUGUCCCAAUUGGCAUAUAGGUUAAAUGCAAGAGAGCAAGAUCCGUUUUCAUAAUAGGGAUCAUAGUUCCUAAUCAUAACUAGAAUGCUAAGUCUCACAUGCAUGCACUCUACCACAUAGGGGUCUAAAAUUUACUAUACAUAAUAUAUGCAUAUUAGCAUUCUAAAAUUCAUAAUUAAAUAUAUUUAACAUGGAAAUGCAUGAAUUUCAAUUUUACGAAACAUAUUUGCCAAAUAUGAGCAUUUCUCAUAUCUAGGCUAGGUCAAACCCACCGAACCGUCGCGUGCUCCUUCGAUUCGCCGAACGGAGUUGUCCACGAGUCUCAAAGUAUCCUAAAAGUAAUCAGCGAAAGAUACGAGAGUAUUACGACCAACCAAGAGAUCAAACAUUAACCUAGAAGUAAAAAGGGCCAAAUUCACCUCAAGAGAAGAAUCUCUUCCAAAGCUCCAAAAGAGAGCUAGAACCCUUCCAAUCCAAGCCAAGGAAGGUUCUAAACCAAUCAAUCUAGCCCCAAAAGCCCUAGAUCAAAAAGCCCCAAAAUCAACCCUAAUACCCAUUCUAGGGUUUCAAAUGUGCAAAAUCUACCGACAAGAAUCAAAGGGUAGAAUCAAAAUACUAACCUCUCUAGAUGCCUCAAAACAAGCUCCAAAUCUUCUAGGGUUGAAGAUUGGGUCCACCACCAAGCCCUACAAGCCAAGCCCCAGCCUUGCCAAAGUGGGAAAGAGAGAAAGGGGUUGAGCUCCAAGCUCUCAAGCUAGCUCCUCUUCUUCUUCUCCUCUUCUUCUCCUUCUCUCUCUAGAAAGUGUAGGAAGAGGGUGAGAAUGAGAGAAUGAGAGAGGGAAGAGGAGGAAAUGGCUAAUAAGCCCAUCUAGUGUAACAAAAUCCGGAGAGGCCCCUCAAAAACCCGAUAUUGCAACAGCCCGAACUGGGCAGUUUUCGCCCAGAGGGACCGGUCUCUCCCCAGCAGGGACCGGUCUCUCGCUGCGAACCCGAAAAUCCAUCGUUCGGGAACCGGUCUCUCCCUGUGCGGGACCGGUCUCUCACUGCGUAGAUGCGCUCGGGGACCGGUCUCGCCCGCCAGGGACCGGUUGCCUCAGGACUACCGCAACACUGUUCACUGGGGGACCGGUCUCUCCUUCCAGGGACCGGUCUCCGAGAGUAAAAACUCUUAGGACUUGUCCAAAAUUUCAGUUUUCGAACUUUUUAGGUUGGAAAACAUUCUACGACCCUCCACCAAGUGUGGAAAAGCUCGAAACACAUCCAAACACUCGAACCUCGCAAUUUGCAAAGGUCCAGUGUGUUACAGAUAACAUAACUACAUGACUUUGACAUGUGAAAUUAAUGAUACUUAGCAUAGUUGCUUGUUGAUAUAUACUUGUAUAGACAAGGUAAAUUUGACAUUGGGGCAUAAGUGCAUGUUCGGGUCUACAUGAAGCUAGGUUUGAUAAAUCUAAUCUAGUUGAACAACUAGUAUAUGAUAUAGUGAUAUUGCAUACGAUCUAGAGAUCGGUAAUUGCAUUCCAUGUAGUAGACAUGAGGAUAAUGAUUGGGACGCCCUUGGGCGAAUGACAAGAUGGAUAUUUGCAUGUGGCAUUGAUUAAAUGAAAUCACUUGCAUGAUAACUUACUACUCCAUGUAGUGGAGGCCUUAUUGGUAAUGUAAAUGCAUGACAUGCAUCGUGGGCAUUGUAAAUACCUAUGCAUAUGGCAUAAGAAAGUGAUUUUUUCCUAACUAUUGCGAAAUAGUAUAUGUGUGAGCUCUCAUGGAGAAUUGAACCUUAGUGCAUUACCCUAGAUAGGAUAAUGACAAGAGUUAUGUGCUUAUGAACUAUUGACUUUUACUUAAUAUAGUAAACCAUAAUGUCGUAAAGUGGCAUUGGACUUAGUAAACGGUUAAACUUUUACACAAUGAUAUAGAACUAAACCUUUGGAUUGGUAGUAUUUAUUCCAUGUUGGAGACAUGACGACCGUGUACUUGAGAUGUUGAUCACGCUUGCAUGCCAUUUGUGCUCAUUCGCACAUACUUGUGAGGGUCGCUCUCCACAAGCCGGCACUCCGGAGUUAGCCUAUGCGACAUAUGCCUACUGGGCCCGCGUGGGAUAGACUCAUUCCUAGAGUAGAAAUGUUGGAGCUACCACGGGCAUUUAGGCGACACAAGUCAGACUACACUUGUGUAGGUACUGGGCCCGCGUGGGAUAGACUCAUUCCUAGAGUGGGAAUGUUGGUGCUACCACGGGCAAUUAGACGGCACAAGCCGGACUACACUAGUGUAGGUCCUUAAUUGGAAAUUGAAAAAUGACACCUAAAAUGUAAUGUGUAAACUACUACUAGAUGGUGCAUAUUAGUUGGACUAGUGGACAUGCAUGAUAAUGCAUAUUGUGGACCUUAUGUUAGUCACUCAUAGCAUUGACACUCUAGUGGUAGUAUGUUUACAUCUACAUCGAUUGUACGUAUGCAUGGCUAGAAUAACAAUGGAAAGCCUAUUUUCUCUAUGAAGCAUCGUGGACAUAUUGAUUAUACAUGUGAAUUAACAUUGGCAUAUAGUUGAACAAUGAAUUUAGAACAUCAUAUAUUUGAUAGUUAAUCCUGUAGUGGACGCAUGACUAUGAUUGAACAUGUUUAAUUUACUCGCUUUUCAUAUAUUGCUUAAUUAUCACCUUAUAACAUGCCUAUGUUAGCCUAGUGGUGUAUUUCGCUGAGGUCGGUGACUUGCCCACUGGAAACUAUUGUUUAAUAGUUCUCACACCCUCUGUUUUGUUGUUUGUUUAAGAGCCAUCCGCAUCAGGAGUGACUAGGGAUCGUGGCAAGGUGUUAGCGACUAGCUAGAGCCCCUGCGGAGUUAUUUUAGAGGGACCCGACAUCAUCUUUCUUUUUGUACUUUGUGGAAAGAUAUAUUAUGCUUUUUUGGUUUAGAGAUUAUGUUAGACUUUUGGAUUUAGUUGUAUACUUUUGUAUAUCUUGUGGAUCUCUUUGUGAUAGAGUACUAGUGAUUUUAUAUUACUCGCUCUGAUAGCUUUGUUAGGACUUUACUGUGUUCAUCUCUGGUUUUGGUAGACGCCUUGUGUGCACUUUGAUUGUUUGGUGUACACGGCGGGUCUGUACACGCGCCGGGCGGGCUUCCGUUGGGUCCCGGGGCGUGACAUUUGGCCACCAAAAGCUCUACCGACCCGAAUCUCUAGCGGAUAGCAGUCAGAUUUUGAUUUCCACUUUUCAGGUGUUAGAAUGACAUGAAACUUUAAAUCCAGCCUCAUAAAAAUAAUUUCGACAUAUUAUCAAAUUUUUAUAAUUUUCUGACACUGUGAAUUUUCUGCUAAAAGAUCAGCUCUCAUUUCUUACAGAAAAUUCUAAAUUUUUUGUUUCCAUUCCAAUUUCAGCACAAAUCAUUUCCGACUUAUAUUUUACUUAUUUAAGUCCAAUAAAAAUAGUACCUUACACUAUUUUUAUUUAUGCUUAAUUUUAUAUUAAAAAUUCGAUACAUUACAUUCAACCCCCCUUAAAAAAAGUUUCGUCCGCGAAACUUAAAUUCAUACCUCAACUUGACAGAUCAAGAGAUGAGGAUAUCAUCAAAUCUCUCAUUCCUAGGCACCCCACGAUCUUCGUGAUUGCCCUGCAAAACUUUAAUGCAUGAAACACGGUUUCACAAUUCUUUCUCUUCACGAGUAAAGAUGCCUACCAGAAAUUCCUUGUACAUCGCAUCUUUGUAUCACUCAGGUAGCUCAUACGCCUUUGCUUAAUCAGCAAUCGCCUACAUACGAUCCUUAUCGGGCCCAUGUCGUCACCAUUCACGGACUUUCAGCUCUACAGCGAGAUGGCACAUUCAGCAUAUCCUCAAAUUCCAACUCACCUGAGAGCAUAGUCCCCAAACCCUCACGUGGCUUUCCACUAGCUCAUAGUCUCAUAAAGAGCACUUCACUUAACUUUCAUCUGCCACGGUCAUCAUCACAUCAUUCUCACGACGAGUCCACAUGAAUACUCCAUUCAUGACUCAAAGCCAAACUCCUCAAUAGGGCUAUCCACCAAAGGCCUCCAACCCUACGUAGAUCUACCGCCUAAACCUGUAUCAAUACGCGCAACGUCUCUCGCUUGCAAGCGUAGACCCAAUCAUCACUGGGCAAAAUUCUCACUUGGGAAUUCGCACACACUCCAACCAGGAGCAACUAAGACCCCAAACCACUACAAUUCCUCGGGUUGAGUCACAACCACACUCUCGGCGAAUCAUCGAUCACACACAGCUGACUGCGCCUGUCCAAAAAGCCCCAGGCUCCACAGUCCACAAUGGUCCAGGCACGGAUCGUCCUUAAGCAAUACCCGCCAACGUCGUGCCACACAACAUGCUCUACCGAGCAACACGUAUCUCUAUCGGCUCCUAAGCACCUAGUGCGAGCCACCAGCCCUACAAGUGAUCCCUGGCACACUUCACACCUAGCAAUGCUCAAGUGCUACUGCCAACACACUCUCACAGCUGAUCCACAUCCGCACUCCAUGAGUACCUACACUCGAGCGUCGUACACUUUCUAUACCAUUCCACACUAAGUCUAGCAUUAGGCAAUCAUGCCUAUGCACAUCGACUACGUAAGCACAAUACCCUACCUCAGGUCGAGGUACCACUAGGCCCACAUGUCUAAACUCGGCGACUAACCGACUACUCUCUCAACAGUGAUCUUACCAUCACUGUUCGAUCCGCCAGGACAACGUCCAUACUCAACUCUCGCAGUCAGCUACACAUAUUGCUUUGCGAGUUGGUCCGUCAUUUCCAUCUCUACCACGAGUCUCAUUUCUCAUCCAUAGACUAUAACCAGCAAUUCGCUAGUGCCAUCUAGCUUUCUACCUGCUCCAGCAGGUGCUACGCUCCCACAACACGAGCAUGCCGGGGUAUCCAUACUUACCCAUCCAUAUGGUCCCCACUAUACUUAUAUAUAAAUAGUAGCAAUUGACCAUAUGAUAAAUGCAUGCAAUGCACCAACUUUACUUUCCUCAAUUAAAUCAUACCUGCUAUGAUAUCGUCAGCGACAGUAGGCUCCUCAUCCAGGGUCGCGUAUUCGUGGCCACUUAGCGCCCGCCGCGAACCCUCCGGUUGCCACGUCCUCAAUGCUCGCUCUCUGGACCGUGCCACAGGUGGCACACCCGCAGGCUAUCCCGGAGAGGAAAAGGUCGUCGCCAGUGUCAGGGUCCGACUAUCACCUUGCGAACACUCGUAAUUCAGGUGACACGAUUGCCCACAUCGAGUGCAUCUUCCUUCCCGCGGCACGCAACGUCGUGCCCAAUGGGAAUCACCACAAAUCACUCAUCUUGGGGAGGAUCGGGUAGAGGAUGACUUCGGGUGUCGCUUGAAACUCGAUUGACCACCCGAACUGCUCGACAGUGGCCUCACCCCUCACUGCUCACAUUCAUAAGAUUCGCGCUCCUCCCGCACGAAAACCUUGCUUUGUUCCACCCACAAGGCCCGAUCCAAGACUUCAGCAAAAGCUUGCAACUUAAGAUUAUGCACAGCUUCGAAAAUGUGCGGCCGUAGUCCCCGUACAAACCAAUCGGCCAUAUCCUUGUCAUCACGCACCACAUACGGGACACAGUUCACGAUACGAGAGAAUUUUCGCUCGUACGGUCUCCUUGCCGCAGCUUCCUGAACCUCUCCUGAAGCUUUCUCUUUUCACUAUCGGAGAAAUAAGCCGAAAAUAUCAAUCCCCAAAACUCUGCCCAAGUCGUAGGAGGGAGAUUAGGCGAUCGGUUUUGCCUAACGCCUUUCCACCAUACAUUCACCGAUUGUUUCAAACAAUGCACGACUAGGUGCACCUUGUCCUACUCCAAGGUGUAUAGAUCUUCAAAAAGAGUUUUCAUGGAGUCGAUCCACAUCUCCACGAUCUACGGAUCUACAUCCUCUCCAUCAAAGAUAGGCGGAUCAAACUUCUUAAAGGUCAUGAGGGCCACCAAAGCUCGCUCCCUCUCCGCCUCCACCUCUGUACCAUCGGGAGUCGGAUUGCCCGACACCGACGGAAAGGUCUCCGCCGCAACUCCCGGCCGUACUCGACGAGCCGCAACUGGUGCGGUCACCAGCUGAUCCAUCAUUUCUUGGAGUCUGUUAAUUCGCUCCUCCUGGCGCAUGGCUGCCUCCUGCUGACGCUGCACAACAUCGGCUUGUUGCCUCAUCACUCCCACGAGUGUGGCCAACUGAUCGUGAAGUUCCAAGUCUCCGCUCGCCUCAGACUGCUUAGGGACAUCACUUGUCCCAACCCACGCCGAUCUGGUUGAAGAUCGCCUAUGCGGCGCCAUCGUUUCCUAAAACAUGACAACUCGGUCAAUCCUCGAGCCGCUAGGUCGAGCACGAAAUAAUUAACCCAGACUUAAAUCAGGCGAAAGUCAUACAAGGGAGCCUAUUCUCAUCACUGUCACGCCCCGAGACCCGCCAAUUUAGUUGGAUUCAAGCGCGCCGACAGACUGUCGAACGGCCAGAGUUUCCCCUGCACGUCCAAGGCGUCACAAUCCAUACAAUUCGCGAGGUUCCAACCAGGAACAAUAUUCAUACACAGAUUGCAUAAGGAAGGUAUCGCAAACAUAAAUACUAAGCUAUUACAAGCAUUCGUCUCAAUUUUUAUAUUUAUAUUACAUUCAACUUCCAAAUACAAUCAAUUUACUACAACUUAUUUCUUUCUGUUCUACACCCCUAGUUAGGCCGACUUGGGGUACUGCUAUCUUUCGUCACGAUGGUAGGGCGCUAUCUACGGAGCUACGCCCAUUCCCUGAGUAGCCGCGCUCGCGUGUGGACCUGAAAACCCCGAAAAAUGAGGGUAAGAAUUAUUGUCCAUAGUUCCCAGUAGGUACGGCCACUCAAGGGAAGAGCUCGACCCACCAGGUCCAAAGGAGGCGCUACAAACAUAUUAGCUCAACAGAUAUCCACAAAUAACUUAUGCAAGUAUUAAAUACAUGCGUAUGCCUCACAACAUGCAAUAUGCAAUUCAUGCAAGUAGAUCUACUGAUUCUACUUUCUAUCUCGCUAUCCACAGCUCACGCAACUAGUUUCUAAGGUUUCCUCUACCUCAGAUAUAUAUCAUAUAGCAUUCUAUAUCAGUGGCCAUUCUCUAUCACUUGCCACUUUCACCUAAGGUUUCCUCUAUCUUAGCCAACUAUGCCACUCGACUAGGUCUUGAGUGAAUCAUCGCGGAGAAACGCGCUCAAUCAGGCUCGAGGUAAAGAACGUCUCACAUGCACCUCAGUCUUAAAUUCUUUCGACUAUAGGUCUACCACAGGGUAAGGAGAACCGUCGACCCCGGACCACCAGUCGCUCAAGCUAAACGGGCGAGGAGAACCAACAUACCCAUUUCCACAAAGCUCAUACCGGGUGAGGAGAACCAACAUACCCGUUGAAUCACUGCCGGGCGAGGAGAACCAACAUACCCGCAGUUAUGAUUCACUUGCACUCAGUCGCAAGUCUCAUCCGCUGCACUCGCAGCCGCUGUACUCACAGCCGCUGCAUUCGCAGCCUGAAUUCCUAAGAAUUUCGGAAUCCACUUUCCACAUCUCAAGGGUUAGCCUCAUACCCUAUAAUGUCGACAUCUCUAGGUUCGACUCAUGCACAUCCUAGUGGCCCUUCUACCACUAUAGUUCAAAACCUAGGUUCAACAUCGCUAGGUGUCACUACAUGUCAUAACCUAGGUUCAACCACGCUAGGUUCUACGUCAUUUCCACCUAGAUUUCGACUCUAGGUUCACUAUUCAACCUAUGUUCAAUGACACUAGGUUCAAUGCCAAUCAAUCUACUUGUUAUCCUAGUUGUCCACUCCUAGGAUUCGUAGUUUACAUAUUCUUGUUUUCCAAUUGUCGAGUUCUUUUAUCAACUUAGAGUUAUCGACCCAAGUUCACAUUCAUAUGAAUCUAGCAUAUUCUCACAAUAUGUCAACAUGCAUAUGUCCUCUAGCAUCUCAUGCACAUGCCGAUAUCAUCAUCGUCAUCCAAUGAUAGGUAAUAUCAUCUAGCAUAAUAUGAUUCAUGCAUUCAUAUUAUCAUAUACAACCUAUCAUAAUAUACAUGCAUCAACAAUAAACCAUACUUCACUUUGGCAUGAAAGUGACAUAAUCACUUCGGUGAAGCACAACCCACCUCGUAUCGACGUCAAGAAGUGAGAAACCAAGUCCCGCAAUUUACCGUUGUCGUUUUAGCUCGACCCAAGCCUAACGAACCAAAUUCCGCAAAUCUCUUAAUCGGACGCCGUAAUCUCGUUGUAAUCCAAAACGAAGUUGUCCUCCGCAUCGAAUUAUCCUUCAAUUAAGGUUUUACAAGAUUAAUUUGAUUCAAAACCUCUUAGAGACAAGAGCCCCAUUUUCUAAGCCUAGGGUUCAAGUUCUACGAGAAUACUCCAAAUUUCAUGAUUAAAUCUUAACCAAUCUAGUUUAGAAUCAUCUAGAGGUCCUAAAUACCUCAUUACCAAAGAUUUAAUCCAAACCCUAGCUUAAAUCACAAAACUCACUAUGGCCACCUUGGAAAGAAGCUUGAUCCACCAAUGGAGAGCUUGCUUCACCACCAAGCUUCUUCUCCAAGCUAUUUCUAAGCUUAAUCUCCAAUCUUUCCUCCAAAUAAUUCUUUUUGGUGGAGAGCUUACAAGAGAGGGAGAGAGAGAUGUGAGCUUGGAGACAAAGAGAGAAAGAGAGAAAGAGAGAAAGAGAGAAGACUUACUUUCCCUCUCUCUCGGGUUGGACCAGGACAAAGGGGAGAAGGCAAUUGUUACACACAUAGGCCCCCAACAAUUGCAGCUUACAAUUUAGUCCAGUUCAGAAUCUGAUACUUUUUGUCGAAGUCCUUCUGAAUGUCCGUUUGCUCUCAAAUUUGACAGUCGGGCUCGAUUAAAAUUAAUAAGAAGAACGAAAUCUUAAUAUUUCAGUUUGGACCAUUUUUGGUCACCGAAACCUCUGCCGACCCGAAUCUCUAGCGGAUAGCAAUCAAAUUUUGUUUUCCAUUUUUCAGGUGUCAGAAUGACAUGAAACUUUAAAUCUAACCUCAUAAAAAUAAUUUCGACAUAUUCUCAAAUUUUCAUAAUUUUCUGAUACUGUGAAUUUUCUGCUAAAAGAUCAGUCUCGUUUCUUACAGAAAAUUCUAAAUUUUAUGUUUCCAUUCUAAUUUCAUCACAAGCCAUUUUUGACUUAUAUUUUACUUAUUUAAGUCCAAUAAAAAUAGUAUCUUUCACUAUUUUUAUUUAUGCUUAAUUUUAUAUUAAAAAUCUGGUACAUUACAGAAAAGGUAGAAACCUAGUUUAAAUCACCUGCAUAUGUGGGGAUGUCCAGCUGAGGUGAGGGUUUAUAAUCCACACAUAAAGAAGUUGGACCAUCGAACAGUCAGUGGAUAUUUCAUUAGCUAUGCAGUAAAUUUCAAAGGAUUCAGGUUUUAUUGUCCAAAUCACCCAUCCAAGACAGUUGAGACCAGGAAUGCCAAAUUUUCUUGAGGAUUCUGAAGCUAGUGGGAGUGUUGUUGUCACGCCCCGAGACCCGCCUAUUUUGUAGAAUUUGGGCUCGCUAACAGACCGCCAAACAGACAGAGUCGCAAUCCAUACAAAGCGCUAGGUUUCAACCAGAAACAAAUUUCAAGCAGAUAUUGCAUAAGAAAGUAUCAAAAACAUAAAACAACUAAGCUAUUACAAGCAUUCACAUCACAUGCUUUUUACAUAUUACAUUUUUAUUUUCUUUUCUUCCAAAUACAAUCAAGAUUACACAAAUAAUGCUUUCCUUCUUUUUCUACACCCCUAGGUAGGCUGACUCGGGGCACUGCUAUCUCUGGUCUCAGUGGUAGGGCGCUAUCUGCGAAUCUACGCCCUUUCCUUGCACCGCAGCGCCGCUCGCGUUUGAACCUGAAACCCCAAAACCACGUGGGGUGAGAACUAUUGUCCAUAGUUCUCAUUGGGUACGGCUAUCCAAGGGAAGAGCUCGACCCACCAGGUCCGAAGAAGGCACUGCAACAUGUUAGUCCAAUAGAUAUCUAACAGAUAUAUAUGCAAGUAUUAAAAUACAUGUUAUGCCUCUCAACAUGCAACAAUGCAAAUCAUGCAAUAAGCUAAGUAGAUCGACCGAUUCUACUUUCAAUCCGGCUAUUCAUAGCUCAUCCAAUUGACUUCUAAGUUUUCCUCUAUCUUAGAUUCAUAUCAAUUAUAACUCUGCUCAUAAGGUUUCACCUACCUUUAUCAUUCAUUUGCUUACAAGGUUUCUACUACCUUUAUCAUUUGCUCACAAGGUUUCUACUACCUUUAUCAUGCUAUCCACCCGACUCGGCCUCGAGUCAAUCCGCCGUGGAAUACUGCGUAUAGUCAAGCUCGAGAUGAAGGACGUCUCACUUGCACCUCAGCCUUAAAUCCACUCAACUGGGAUACCAAAUCCACUCUGCUGGGAUUCAUAUGCUUGCCACCCAAUCUAACUGGCUAACACGAAGGUUACGCCCCGACUCACAUCUCAAAAUCUCAUGGGUGAGGAGAAUCUGCACUCGCACACCGAGAAUGCCUGCGGGACAACUACGUCUGCCCCUAGUGUGGUAACUCCGGAGCUCACUGCUUGGGUGGAGCGACCACCGCCAAGCUCAAAACAGACUAUGUGAGUAUGAUCCAAUCCUCCCUACUCGAGGAUACCCUAUCUACCAGUGUUAUAGUGCUUCCGCCGCACUAUUUCCAAUAGCCACAAAUCGACAACUCGGGAAAUCUGCUAUCCCUGUGUUCAUGUCAUAGUAUUUCUACUACACUAAUUUCUAAAACAUGUCAUAGUGUCUCUACUACACUAGUUCCAAAUACCACUCGAUCUACUUGACAAUCUACUUGUCCACAUCGAGUAUUAUAGUUUUCAUGUCCUUGUUUUCCAAUGUCAAUUCUCUAAUCCACCUAGAGUUAUUGACCCAAGUUCAACAUGCAUAAUUCUUCUAACAUAAUCCAUAUAUGUCGACAUGCAUAGUUCAUCUAGCAUCUCAAGAUAUGCCAACAUGCAUAUUUAUCUAACAUAAUCCAUAUAUGUCAACAUGCAUAUUUAUCAUUUAGCAUCUUAUGAUAUGUCAAUAUGCAUAUAUUUUCAUCAUCCAAUGGUAGUCAUUACAUAGAAAUCAUCUCAUGCAUCCACCUAGCAUUUAUUUCAUGCAUUUAUCUACCAUUUAGUAUUUAUAUCAUGCAUUCAUCUAGCAUUCAUAUUAUGCAUUCAUCUAGCAUCUCAUAUCAUGCAUUCAUCUAGCAUUUUUAUGUUCUACAAUUAACUACCAUUAUAUGUAUCAAUAACAAAACCGCAUUCCACUUCGACAUGGAAGCGAGCUAAUAUCUUCGGUGAGCACAACCCACCUCGCAACGCUAUCUGAUUGCUUGUAGUCACUUGCAAUCGGCCUCCCGCGGCACGCGCUAUCCGGUUCGGCCCGAACUCACAAUCGGCAACCAAACACACGUCGAUUCUCAACUUUGAGUCAUCAAGCAUCCUUCUCUAACCUUCAAUUAGAGGAUUAAAGGGUUAAAUGAGAUCAAAACCCUCAUUUGCUACAAAACCCCAUUCUAAACCUAGCAUGAGCAUAUUCUCCAAAUAACCCAAUAUUCAUGAAGAAAACAUGCUAGAAACAUUCUAAGGGCUAUUAGAACACUAAGCAUUAAGGAUUAAGCCAAAUCCCAAAAGCUUACCAAAAUGUGAACGCCGAGACGGAAGCACGCCGCUCAACCGGGCGCACGAAGGCCCGAUCCGACGCUCCCAACGCGUUCCCAAGCUCGCUCUCCGCCAACGCCGCGAAUUUGAAAGAGAGAUCUAGAGAGAAGAAAGAGUAUCUAGAGAGUGAAAGGAGAGUUUCUCUCACUAGCACCCAAGAGUGUGCGUGUGAUGAUGCUCGGCUGAGGGAGGGGAAGAAGAAAGACUUCUAUUACACAAAUAGCCCCUCAAAAUACUAUUACAACCAGCAGUUUAGCUUUCAAAAUCUAAUACUUUUCUCCGGAGCCCUUCUGAAUGUCCGUUUGCGCUCAAAUUUGACAGUCAGGCUCGGUUUAACUUAAUAAGAACAAAGAAAUUUUAAUCUUUCAGUUCCGACCAUUUUUAGUCCCCGAAAGCUCUACCCAAUUGAAAUCUCUAGCAGAUGGCAGUCAGAUUUUAUUUUCUACUUUCUGAGUGUCAGCAUGACAUGAAACUUUAAAUCUAGCCUCAUAAGAAUAAUCCCGACAUAUCCCAGAUUUUCAUAAUUUUUUGACACUAUGAAUUUUCUACUAAAAUAUCAGUCCCAUUUCUCACAGAAAAUUCUAAAUCUUUUAUUUCCGUUCCGAUUUCAACACGAGUCAUUCCAAACUUAUAUUUUACUUCUUUAAGUCCAAUAAAAAUAGUAUCUCACACUAUUUUUAUUUAUACUUACUUUUAUAUUAAAUUUUGGUACAUUACAGUUGUUCCUCAAAAGAUGGAUUUGGAAAAAAUAAGGGAUUCAACUGGUUAUCCAUCAACAGAUAAUAAUCAGGUUGCUCUUCUAGGAGGUCAAUUUGACCAUAAUGGAGAUCAACUAAUCUUGGAGUAUGAAAAUGCUGAAUUAGUUGAACCUCCCCAUGAAGAGCUGUCCCAAGAGGAACAGAUAAUUAUAAAGCCAGCUACACAGAAUAAUGAAAAUUUGUAUGAAGAGGUUGGCUUAAGAAGAUCCUCAAGACAAAGGAGAUCGACAAUUCCUGGUGAUUAUGUAGUCGAUCUUCAGGAGUCUGACUUUAAUGUCGGACACCAUAAAGACCCAUAGACGUUUUCAGAAGCCAUGCAGGGAGAUAAAUCCUCCCUAUGGUAUGAUGCCAUAAAGGAAAAAAUGAAAUCUAUGGCGGAUAACAAAAUUUGAGAUAUCGUUGAGUUACCACAAGAAGUCAGAGCCAUUGGUUGUAAAUGGGUCUUUAAGACAAAAAGGGACUCUUUAGGUAAUAUAGAACGAUAUAAGGCCAGACUUGUUGCCAAAGGUUUCACUCAAAAGGAAGGCAUUGAUUAUCAUGAAGCCUUCUCUCCGGUGUCAAAGAAGGAUUCAUUAAGAAUUAUCAUGGCUUUGGUAGCUCAUUUCGAUUUGGAGUUACAUCAGAUGGAUGUGAAAAUGGCAUUUCUAAAUGAGGAUAUAGAUGAGAUAGUCUAUAUGCAACAGCCCGAAGGUUUUAGCACAGAUAAAAAUAAUCACCUUAUUUGCAAACUAAAGAAAUCUAUAUACGGAUUUAAACAGGCUUCCCGUCAGUGGUAUAUCAAGUUCCAUACUGUAAUUACUACAUUUGGUUUCGUAGAAAAUAUUGUGGACUAGUGCAUAUACCGUAAGGUUAGUGGGAGUAAAUAUAUUUUCUUAGUUCUGUAUGUAGAUGACAUUCUUCUUGUAAGUAGUGAUUUGAGUUUGCUUAAAGAGACCAAAAAUUUUCUUUCUAAGAACUUUGAGAAGAAGGAUAUAGGUGAAGCUUCUUAUGUCAUUGGCAUAAAGAUUCAUAGAAAUAGAUCUCAAAGGAUUUUGGAUCUAUCUCAGAAAGCCUAUAUCGAAAGAGUUCUAGAAAGAUUUAAUAUGGCAAAUUGUGCACCUACAGCUGCGCCUAUUAUAAAAUGUGACAAAUUCAAUCAGAAACAGUGUCCUCAGAAUGACUUAAAAUGAGAGCAUAUGAAGAGCAUACCCUAUGCUUCUGCGGUAGGGAGCUUGAUGUAUGCUCAUGUCUGUACCAAACCUGAUAUAGCUCAUACAGUGGGGAUGUUGGGUAGAUACCAAAGCAACCCUGGCAUUGAUCAUUGGAAAGCUGCAAAGAAUGUUAUGAGAUAUUUACAAGGAACAAAGGAUUAUAUGCUCACCUACAGACAUUCUGACUAUCUUAAGGUGGUUGGAUAUUCGGACUCUGAUUUUGCUGGAUGCGUGGAUUCUAGAAAGUCCACAUCAGGAUAUAUUUUCUUAUUUGCUCAAGGUGCUAUAUCUUGGAGGAGCACUAAGCAAGAUACAGUUACUACAUCCACUAUAGAGGUAGAGUUCAUCGCUUGCUAUGAGACUUCCUCACAAGCUUUAUGGCUGAGAAAUUUUAUCUCAGGUUUAAGAGUUGUCGACUCUAUCUCAAGGCCAAUUAAGAUUUAUUGCGACAACUCUGCUGCAGUGUUCUUUGCCAAGAAUGGUCGAAUUAUAGGUUGCAGCAAACAUAUCGAUAUAAAGUAUUUUGCUGUGAAAGAAUACGACAAGAAGAAGGUAGAUAUCCAACACAUUGGGACCGAGAUGAUGAUUGCUAAUCCUAUGACUAAAGCAUAGCCGGCAAACAAAAUCAAUGAUCAUAUUUAUCAUAUUGAUAUCCUGAGUCCAUUUACAGUUUAAGUGUUUUCUUCUUUUAUAAAGAAUUUAAAGAUUAUUUUUAUUUGAAUAAGAACACAUUUUGGUUUUGCACAUAUUCGCAUAAAGUUAUUUUUUGUAAAUUAAAGUAUUAUUGUGCACUAAAGAGGGACUCUGAGUUGAACUUAUAAUAAGUUCAUACGGUUGUAACUCAUAAAGUUAUUUGAUUAAGGAAUAUGUGCUUUUGAUACAUGGAAUGAAGUGUUCAUCUUUUUGGGGCAUAACCGCUAUGAUCAAAGUAUUGUGAUUUCUUGGUCGAAUGGGAGAUUUUGACUAUACAAUUUUGUUUGUACCUAAUAAAGUUUUUGUAUCUCCUAUAUGGUAAUGAAUAUAUCACUAGGCCAAGUGGAAGAAUGUUGGAUGUGGUCCACGUGAUUUAUUCAAAGCGAUCUAUAAAGAUACAGUCGGUUUAUUCAAGUCGAUCUAUAAAGAUAUGGUAGAUCUCACGGUUAGGAUGUAUCUGGACACGUCCUUGAUGGACGGACGUGAUUUAACAUCCUUAUAUUAAGUUAUAUAUAAAUAUGUAACAUACGGGAGUCCCGGUCUAACCCUAAUCCAAUUAUCUGUGACGGCUCGAUCUCCGGGGAUAAAAGAAUUAGACUCGAAAUGUCCCGUUUUCUUGCAGAUCGCGAAUAAGGACGAACCACGAACAAAAGUCGCCGCUUAAAAAUUGGAUACAAAAAUCAAAAUCAUGGCAGAAGAUACGAUCAUAGUUUUUAAUAAAGUUUCAACAAGGAACAGUUGGUAUUUCUGUGUGUGUGUUGAUACACCUUAAUAGUCCCUUUGGUAAAUGCCAUGUCAACUAGCUACUAGUGUAAAGGGAUGCACAUGCAUAUGUAUCUUCUUUUCUUACCUAAAGUUUCUUGCAUUGAAUUGUUCCCUCUCUAACAAAAUUCUUUCUUUAAUCUCUUGCCACAGGUUGGAAGCUAUCUCGGAUACACAUAUAAAAUUCUCACUAGAGCCAAAAAGGAAGAAGAAAAUGGGACGAGUAAAUUAUGUUUGGAUUGUUGAAAAAGGAAAAAAAUUUUACACGAAAAAAUUUCGCCGGUCAUAAUAAUAUUUUCCUUCAAGCGUUUACUGUUUACUUAAUUUAUAGUCAAUCUGGAGUAGAAGUGGCAAUCCAUUGUUUGCUAGCCAAUUCGUGUUCGGCUCGAAAUGAGCUCGUGUUUGAAUCGAAUUGCUCGUUUACUAAAUGAGUCAAAUACGAACUGUAUUUUUCAGCUCGUUUAAUAAACGAGCCGAACAGGAGGUAGGGUCAGCUUGCUCGUGUUUAGCCCGAAUACAUAUAUUUUAUAUUUUUAUAUAUAAAUAAAUAAUUAUAUCUAUAAUAUAGAUUUUUAUUAUUUAUUUUUUUAGCUCAACCUAAAUAUAAAGCUCAUCUUAAUUAUAAAAAAAAACUCAUUUAUAUGUAAAGUUUCUACCAUUAAAUUAAAAUCUAAUAGAUAAGAUCUCAUAAAUUUAUUUUCUAUAUAUAUAUUUUUUAAUCCUUCUAACUUGUUAUUCAUGAGCCAGCUCGUGUUCAACUUGUCAAAAAAAAAAGCUGAACACGAGCUAAAUUUUUCGAUUCAAUACUUUAACGAACCGGCUCAUGUUGAAACGAGCCGAACACGAGCCUGCCCUAGCUCGCUCUUGUAUGGCUCGUUGACACGCCUAAUCUGGAUAUAAUGUUUAGUCUGUUAAAAUCUAGUAAAUUUUGACUUGUGCACAAUGAUCGGAAAUACGAAUUAAUUUAUCUUAAUAUUUUGUUUUCCGACUAAUAUUUUGAGCUUUGUUAUACAUACCUCUUAACCUCGUUAACUCAAUCAAUUUAUUUAUCUCUCAAAAAAACUCAAUCAUUUUAUUUAUUUAGAGACGAGUGUUUUGAUCACAGCCGGCUUAAUUGGAGGUUAUCCAAAUAUAACAAAAAAAAUGCAUAAUUAAUCGGGUACUUAUGGGCGUCAGGAGUCUUUCACGAGCCUAAUCCAGUGGGAUUACAUAUUUCUCGCUAUAAAAACAAUGUGGUCGAGAAAACAGCAUACGAAGCGCGAACCUAAAAUUAUUUAAAUUGUUCUUUCUUUCAUUUUCCUUUCCGAAAUAAUGCAUCAGCUGUUGUUAUAAGGAAAAUCUAUUAGGAUGUUUAUUGAAAAGCUGUUAGUGCUAGCUCCCGCACAAGCUCGACAUGAGAUAGCACCAGCUAGUACAGAAGCUGCAGCAGAAGCAAAGAGGCUUGCAGGAUUUAUGUUUACAACCUCCAAGAUUUAUGUUUGAUCGAUUAUCUUUCGGAUAUUCGGUUGAUGAGUUUUGGAUCAAGAAAAUUUUUCAUAACAAGCAGUUGGCCAACAAUCCUGUGUCGAGAAAGAAAAAGCGAUUUGCCUGCACCUCAGAAAGUACAAGAAAUGAUUAGAGUGGCUGGUGCGUGUAUGUAUGUAUCUGGUGUUCUUUUUUCAUUGCGUCAAAUACAUGCAUGUCGGGCGAUCGCAACUGAAACCUCUCAUUCACGGCAACUUUGGUGCAAGAAACAGCAUUCGGUUGUGUUUUUCAGAGUGUUCUUUGCAUCGGAUUCAUGCUAUUGUAUGAUCUUUCUGUAUUUUGUGCUAAGUUUAGGUAAACAUGCAUGGAGUCGCUGCAACUACAGACCAUUGUAAAAAUAGAUCCCUCAACUUCAUUUUUCUUUUUCGAUAGACGCCUUCUACGCUUUUAUUUAUUUUGUUCGAGUCAUUUUAGCUUAUUCAAUUGGGAUUUCGUUAAAAUUAAACUCUCUGGGAACUAAAUUCUACUAUUUCCAGACAUUUGAGUACUGAUUGAAGCAUCUCAAAAUCGACAACUUUAGUCUACAUUGCUUGAACUUUUGUUUGAAAAUAAUUUAAGCUAUCUAGAUCGAGGUUCAUACCUUUGACCUUAAAUUGAUGAAUCCUAUAAUUCAAUUUUAGAAUGUUGUUGAAGUUCAUUCUGCAGCUGCAUGAUGAACCAUAAAAUAAUCUUUAAAAUCAGAAAAUUUGGUUCACUUCCAAUACCAAAAAUCAUAUUUAUUACUAUAGAUUGUCAAUCCAGAUGUCCUAUCAUCAGAAAGAAACAACUCAAUGGGCUUGGUGGCAAUAUCAACCGUCCCUAGAGCAAGUGGCAAAGGGCUUGGUGGUUGGUACCCGAGGUCUCAAGUUCGAAUCCUAGUUGAUUCACAUUUCUAAUUAAGUUUAUUUCUUCUACCUAUCUCUCAAAAAAAAAAAAAAAAAAAAAAAAAAAAAAAAAAAACACAUUUGGCAAUGAUGGGUUGUAUUAGGCUUCAUUAAUACACUUGAGCCAGAAGUUAGGAAUUUGAAGCUAUUAAUGUAUACGGAUGCAAAUUUUGAAAUGCUUAUAUCCUUUUGGUUAUAAUCAUUUUAGAAAGGAGUGGUCAAAAUCAUAAGGACUAGGCAUUUUUAUUGCACAAGUUCUUUUUUUUUUCUUUAAUGCAAAUAAGGAAAAGUAGAGGAUGUUCAUACAUACAUUCAUUUGCCUCUAGUUAAGAACCGUGGCAUAGGGAGCGAAACUGCUUGUAGUUAAGAAGCCUCUCUCUUGCUGCACUCAGCUCAUUUGCAACUUUUGUCAUGUUAGAUCGUUCGUACAGCAAUUCGUUCGAGCACGAGAGACCGCAGUGAAACACCGAAACUAUGCAAUCUCGCACACACUCUUCUCGAUAAGCUAUAUCAUUAUCAGCUGAGCGCAGGUUUCUGUCUAUGAUGUCUAUGAGAUGUUCAGGAGAAGCAGCAGCAGCACGAACAUAUCCACGAAGGCUCAGACCAUCUUUGAACAUGUCGUCGACGGGGCUCAUUCCAGUAAACAUCUCCAGCAGAAGAAUUCCAAAGCUGUACACAUCGCCGAGCCUAGACGGUUUACAGCCCAUUCCAUAUUCUGCAUAACAUUAGUUAAUUGGAAACAGAGAAUAUAAGAUUGUCAGGUGAAUUCAUUUGGAUUUGGAUUUGGCUCCACUGUUUCCAAGCCAUAGUUACAAAAAAUAAAUUUGAUCUUAGGUUAUAAAUCGACUCUAGAAUAGCAUUAGAUAUGCAGAAGUAAAGGUCCAGCUCUUACGUGUUUAGUGAUCAUAAUUAAUCAGUUGUUAGUAGUAAGCAUCAAGCAGUUUAUUCUAACUCUAGUAUGUCGGUUUUUGUGGCUAAUAUGUAGAAUCCUUUUUAUUUCCUACAAUAUUUUUUUUAUUCUCCUAUUCUACUAAUGUUUACACUAAAUUUCUAAUUUUACUUAUUAAACUUUAUGCAAUUCAUUUGUUUUCGCUUCAAAAGAUAUUGAGCUAAAAAAAAUAGAACUAGACUGGAAUACUAUCAAUAGCACCAAGAUAUUGGUGCUAUUGAUUUGUUUUUUAUUUCUUAGAUUGAGAAACGUGCGAUUAGGAUGAUGUGGGUCUUCUAGGGUUGAGUGGGUGGUUGGUUGAAUAGUAUAAUCUAACGAAUAAAAAUGAUCAAAGUGUUAAAUCAAACGAUGAGAAACUCGAUAGCACAAAGCCCUUGUGCUAUUGAUAGUAUCCCAGCCGGACUCGCAAAAAAUAAUAGAUAUAGUAUAGUUACGAAUCAGAUAAAAAUUGUGUUGUCUUUUUUUUUCGUGAAAAGUUGUAAAGCACAAAAUAAUUUGGCAUUUUAUUGCAUAUUUCUCACCUGGAGGAACAUAACCAAUAGAUCCUUUGAUUCCCGCAGUGCCGGUAGAUGAACGCUCAGAUGAUUCGUCAGGCGGUUGCCGCAGAAACUUUGCUAACCCGAAAUCGCCCAAGUGCGCCGUCAUUUCAUUGUCCAAAAGGACGUUGCUGGGCUUAAGAUCACAGUGAACAAUCGGCACGGAUCCUUCGUGAUGAAGAUACUCUAAUGCCGAGGCUAUGUCGAUAGCUAUGUUCAACCUCUGGAUUAGGCUCAAGCUUCUGAAUGGCCUAUUCUGGCAUGCAUUUGAAUGUAGCCACUCUUCUAAGCUCCCAUUAGGCAUGUACUCAAAAACCAAGGCCUUGAAAUCAUUACCGUGGUGAUCCAAACUAGAGCACGAUGUUAGAAUUUUCACAAGAUUUCGAUGUCGAAUGCUUCUCAGGGCCUCACAUUCAGACAUAAAACUCCUGAAAGCCCCAUGCUGUUGAAGGUUAAGCACUUUCACCGCGACGAUGUCAGCAUUUUCAUAGUUCAUGGCGGCUUUAUAAACUGACCCAAAACUUCCCGUGCCGAUCAGAUUAUCUGAGGAGAACCCAUUUGUAGCCUUGAAGAGCUCAUCGUAAGAUAUUUUCAUGUGUCGGUUUCUUAAGGAAAACCCUGACAGCAGCUUUCUCUGUGACUUUUUUAUCAACUGAUGUAUCCGAAGCAAGCCCGUGAUUAUAAUCAAACACAAAAUUGCUCCACCUAUGGGAAUGACUAUUACCUUGAGUUUAUAAUCAGAGUGAUGUUUUGCUGCAAAGGCAUCCGAAGUGCAUUUCGGCAAGUGUAAUUCUGGAAUUCCGCCACAGAGUUUAGGGUUUCCGAUAAGUGAGACUUUGCUCGCAUUCUUAAAAACCCCUUUCAUCGGCACUCGACCCUCAAAACUGUUGAAUGAGAGAUUCAAGUAUUGUAGAUCCGGGAGCUCAUCAAGGAAUGCGGGAAUUUGGCCUGAGUAGAAGUUUUUUGACAGAUCAAUGUCCUUGAGCCCUCUUAAAUUGCUCAAGGAGGAAGGAAUGUACCCUUGAAAUAAGUUAUUCUCUAAAUGAAGGAUUUCCAAGAUUGUGCAUUUGCCGAUGUUUUCUGGAAUCUCACCAGAGAGCCUGUUAUUUGAGAGAUCAAGCUCCCUGAUAUUUAUCAAGUUACCCACUUCUGACGGUAUUGAAUCAUUCAGUAAAUUAUGUGACAAGUCAAGGAAGCUUGCAAGCGACGAAACGCUCAAAGCUUCUUUCGGAAUGCUACCGCUUAGCCUAUUAUUUGAUAGGUUUAACAACUCUAGCAUUAACAUGUUGCUUAAUAUCGGCGGAAUGGCUCCUUCAAGUUUGUUGUUGCUGAGAUAGAGCUUGUCCAUUCGUGUUAGGUUGCCCAAAGAGGAAGGAAUUUCGCCCGAAAGCGUGUUAGUUGAUAGAUCUAAGUACUGUAAUUGCCAAAGAUGACUGAUAUCUACGGGAAUGGUGCCUCGAAAAUUAUUAAUGCUCAUAUCAAGAUAAAUUAGAUUGACGAACUUCUCAAUCUCAGUAGGUAUAAUUCCUGAUAUUUGGUUGUUGGCGAGUCCCAGAGUAUUAAGAUUAGUGGAAAGAUUGAGUAGUGAUUUGGGCAUCAUGCCUUGCAGUAGAUUGUUUUUAAGAUCCAACACAUAGAGACUGGUGCAGUUAGUCAGAGCUGUAAUGAAGCUCCAAUCACUAGGCUUCCUAGCUUCGAGUCGAUUGGUGGCCAGUUCGAGCCGCAGGAGACUCUUCAAGGCACCAAGGGUCGGCGGUAUCGUGCCGUGGAAUGCAUUGAGCGAUAGCUCGAGGUGGUUGAGCUCAGAAGCAUUGGACAAGGAUGCUGGAAUUCGCCCCCUGAGCUGAUUAGAACUCAUACAAAGUAAUUGAAGGUUCGGAAGAGCAUUUCCGAUAUUGGAGGGUAGAGUUCCCUCGAGUUGGUUAUAAGCGAGUUCUAAGGCCUUCAGGGAUGAUAGAUUGUAAAGGGAUGAUGGUAUUUCCCCUGUUAAGUUGUUCAUCCUGAGAAUGAGAUAUUCGAGAGAUGAAAGUCGUCCGAGCGAGUUUGGGAUCGACCCGGAGAGAUAAUUAAUAGCACAGUUCAAGUAAGAGAGGAAUGGAAGUUCUGCAAAGUGAGGAAUUUCACCAUGAAGGCUGUUUCCUCGUAGCGAAAGCCAGUUCAAAGAGGAGAGAUUCACGAGAGUCGAUGGAAUGGUUCCUGUGAGACUAUUGUAUUGGAUUUCAAGUGUCUUCAAGGAGAGAAGGCUACCAAAGGUUGGAGGCAUGGCUCCUAACAGUUUAUUAUAAUCUAAAGAAAGAAAUAGUAGGGAGGAGAGGUUGCCAAGUGAACCUGGGAUGGACCCAGUAAAGCUAUUGAAUUGUAGAUCAAGGUAUUGAAGCUGAGCAAGAUUGCCCAAAGUAGCAGGGAUGGCUCCUGUAAGAUUAUUGUAGCUUAGAGUUAACCAUGUUAGAUGGAAUUCCCUCUAUGAGAAAGUUAUUCCUUAGAUCGAUAGCCUGAAGCUUUUGACACUGUGUUAGAUUGGAAGGGAUUGUUCCAUGUAACAUGUUUCGACGCAGGAGAAGCGCUUGAAGACCGGAAAGAUGCGAUAGAGUUGGCGGGAUCUCACCGUUGAGCUUGUUAUCUCCUAAGUUGAGUAGUUGAAGAUUAGAGCAAUUACCAAGUGAAAACGGGAUUGUUCCGUGAAGAGAAUUCACACUGAGGUUAAGAUAUCGCAGCCGGCGUAGGCUACCUAACUCUUCUGGGAUGCGCCCAUCUAGCUUGUUGUCGGACAGCUCGAUCCUCUGGAUGAAUGUGAGGUUGGCUAUGGAGGGUGAUAUGGAACCGGCUAGGCCGAGAGACUUGAGGUCAAGAGCCGUGACCCGGUCUUGAUGGCGGCGGCCACAAGAGACGCCACGCCACCUGCAGUAGUGGAAAGAGCCAUUGGUCCACGAGGAGAGCACUCCGAACGGAUUGUCAUUGACGAGGGACUUGAAGGAGAGGAGAGCAGCGCGGUCGGAUGCAGCAUGUUUUAUCCCGGCGGUUGCGGCGCACGGGGCGGUGGAGAUCAUAUGCAAUAGAUUGAUGAGAAAAAAUAGUGCAUGGAAGCCUUCCAUUCUAUGAACUAAAACAAGAGAAGCUAAAGACAGUAAUCCUACAAUAGCUCUUCGUUGGUAUUUAAUUUUGGCAACUGGACAGAUAUAUAAGAUAACAAACUAACUUCCACGCUUAGUCAAAAUAUCCUGUGGUUGUAGUAAGCUAGUAAUACCAUGGUGUGAGACUACUUAUGUACCUAGUGCUGCAAUACUUCUACAAAAUGUCACUAAUUGAUAUUGAGUUUCUCAAAAUCUAAAGGGUAAUUGGCGUACCCUUUUGCAGUCUCCUAUUGGCUUGUAAUAUGUACGAUCUCUCAAAAGGUUUAAAGUGUUGAUGUGACACGGGAGCGUGUCGCUAUCUGCCUGUUACGAUACGGCACCGUCACGUUUUCGUGCUCACACAUGAUACGCUUACGAUGGAUAUGAAUGACCUCCUAUAGACACGCUUUAAUACAGACUUACUUCAGUUUUUCUGAUUCCAAUAAACUCUUAUAACAUUAUAUUAAAAAAUUUAAUUAAAUAAUUAUGAAUAUUUGCUAUAUAGAGCUUACUAUACUCAUCAAUUAAUAUACUUGUAAACUUUUUAUAUGUAAAAUAUAAUUAUACCUGAUACAGAAUAGAAAUUUUUACAGUUAAAAAAUUUUAAAUAUAAAGAUAUCUUUAUUUCUUUCUUUUGACCAUAUUAUAGUCUUUUUUUAUAAAAUAUUAAAACUAAUUUUUAAAAUAAUUUUAAAAAUUAUUUGAAAAAAUAUUUAAAAAUUUAUUUUUUAAUUAAUUUUUUUAAAAAAUUAUUAGAUCUAUCUAAAAAAUUAAAUAAUAAAUUAUAAGACAAAUAAAUUGAAUAAAUUUAAGUAUCAAUUGAUUUAAUUAAAAUUUUAAUUUAUUAGUAUUUUUAAUCUUCUAAAGCAAAAAUAAAAUUUUAUAUUUAAUGUGCCUCAAAAUUUAUUUAUUGAGUUUGAUUUUGUUCCUCUCAUCCGCCAAAAGUUUCGCGGUGCAACAAAUUUUGAUAAAAUAAUUUGUGAAAAUAAAAUAAUUUGAUAAAAUAAAUUUUUUGACUUAUCUAACAAGUAGAUUUUUAAUUUGCAGUGUCUUUGGAGUUGUGGAGUACCUAUGAUGCUUCUUGGUACCAAAAGAAUAAAACAAAAGGGAAAAAAAGAAAAGAAAAAGGCAAAAAAAAAAAAAACAUAAAAAAAAGUGAGCAAAUAUGGCACAGUGCCGUGGCACGGUGCUACAUAUCACGUUGUCUUGCGCGAUACGCAGCACUUUGCUGCGGCACGGGGCGGGGUCCGAGACCCCCUCUGUAACUUGCCCCUUUCUUGGGGGCACGGUAUGUGCUGCCCAUGCCGUAUGGCAUGGGGCAGCACUUUAAUCCAUGCUCUCUCAAAUAGGGCAUUUUCCUGUUUAAUAAAAAAAAUCUAAUUACUUUAUAUAUUAGCUAACUAGGUUGCUAAAAGCAUCUAACCUAUUUGUAGUCCUAUAUUCGCGCACUGAAAAAAAAAAAAAAAACGAAAUAAAUAGCUAAGACCACACUACAAAAAAAUUAACAUUUAAGGGACAUUUUCUUUUUAUAUUUAACCGUGCUUAAAAUCGUCCUAAUAUAAUCUAGUGUGAUAUUCAAAAGCGUCAGUUAAAAUGUCGCCAUGUAUAUACCGACGCUUAUGCCAAGCGUUGGUAAAAUAUAUUCUAACGUUUUAAAGUACUAAGAUUUUUAGGUUUUUUGAAAUCCUAACACUUUAAAUCGUCGAAAAAUUAAAAAUAAUAAUAAAGUUUAUCAUCUAAUAAAUUUGGUUCGAUAUAAUAGAGGGUCUAUAUUACGAUGCUUGUUGAAACGUUGAUAUUUGCUAUGUUGUAAGAAUGUUUGGGGACGCUUCCCAAAGCAUCGUUGAUAAAAUAUCCUUAUAUUGAAAUUUUUUCGUAGUGCCACCUAAUUCUAGCUAUACAUUCGCGCAUUGUAAAAAAAGAACCAAGUGGGUAACUAAUUAAAAGCACCUAUUAACACCAUAUUCUUGCAAUGCAUCGCUAUCUCAAUACAACCAUCAAAUUUGUUGUGAUAAAGAAAUUUGUGGAAAUUGAUGGACGAUUAGUGGAUCCACAUUAGUAGAGGUGAUUGGAGAACUAGACGAGCAGACUAGUCCACGAAAUAGAAUGGAUUAUUGGAGGUUAAUUAUUUAGAAAAAUGCUACUUGUGUACAAGAUAUACUCUAUCCAUUUAAGGGUGGAGUGCAUUUUAUUAGUCAUAUCAAUGUGACUAGUGAUGAAGACUCCAUCUUUCGAUGGAUAAGAUGUAAAAUGUAUACCCCUUUUGGGGUGUACCACUAGGGAUGCAAAUGGAUAUGAAUAUCCGAAUUUUAUCCGAAUCCAAAUCCGAAUGGUGCGAAUUUUAUCUGAUAUAAAUGGAUAUGAAUUUGAAUAUGAAUAUCAAAAAUAAAAACCCGACGAAUAUGAAUUCGAAUAUGGAUAUUGACGGUACUCGACCCGAACCCGAACUCGAACCCGAACCUGAACCCGAACAAAUUUAAUAUGAUAUAAUAUAUAAAAAAAUUCAAGCCUUUAGAUCUGAAUCUAAAGGCCAAAAAAAAUACUUAUACUUUUAUAAUCUAAACUAAAAUACAUAUAUAUUAAUAUAAUAUAUAUAUAUAUAUAUAUAUAUAUAUAUAUAUAUAUAUAAAAUUUUGUAAUAUAAAUAAAUAAUAUAGAUUAUUAUUUUCAAAUUUUUAGCCCAACUUACCAAUUGAAGCCCAAUUUUUAUAAAGAGGCCCACCUAUACUUAAAAUUUCAACUGUUUGAUUAAAUCUACUAGCUAAUAUUCCAUCAACAUUUUAACUUCAUCUCUUCCUAACCCUAAUUCUUCCCUUUUUCACACAAGACUUUGCUUUCUCUCUGUUGUGCCAGCGACUAUGCCCGAAGCGGCGCCCCCUCUGCAGCGGGGUACCCAGGUUCGUUCUCCUCUGUUUGGCCGGCAGUUUCGUUCUUUCCUCUGUUGUCCGGCGACUCGCCUGAAGCAGCACCCCCACGUGCAGCGGCGCCCACUGGCAACGGCUAGGGUGGAAACAACGAGCUCGAAGCGAGCUUACCUCGGCUCAAAUUCGGCUUGAAAAUUAAUUUCGAGCCUAAAUUUAACUCAAGCUUGAUUGAAAUUAAUUCGAGCCGACUCGAGCGAGCAACAAGUUUCGAGUCGAGCGAGCUCGAGCCCUUAAAUGACCGCUUGAAAUUCUCAACUAUCAUACUAUCAAUAGUUUUAAUUUGUAUAGAACAUUAUAUAUAAUUUGAUACAAAAAAAAUGUUUAAUAGUUCAAUAGUAUAAAUAAUUAUAUAAAAUAUAAGUAUAUUAAAUAUAAAAAAAAUUUAUGAUUGAAAUCUAAUCUUUUCAGCGCUUGUCUUUUCUUCACCUUCAAUCUCCAUAUUAUUCAUUUUUAUUUAUGCAGUCAAAAUAAAUAAAUUAUAUAGAUAAAUAUUGAUUAAACUAUCCAAUCAUAUAUAACUAAAUAUAAAUUUUAUAUGAAUAAUAAUUUUUAUUAAAAAUCAUUCUGUAAUUUUUCUAAAGCAUACAAUUAUAGCAAGAUAGCAACGACAGACAUUAUGCUGCUACUUAGUAACUUGGAGGCUUUCGGCUUGUUCACAUAGGUGAGAGACAGAAAAGAAAAAGUAGAAAAACUAUUGAAAAUUUAAAGCUUUGUGAAAGAAAGAAAGAAAAAAAUGUAAAAAAUUAGUAAAAUUUUGCUCUUUAUUUGUUCUAUUGGUUUGUUUUUAUGACCAACAAUAUUGGCCCAAAUUUUACUAAACUCAGAUUAUUCACUCAGCUUAUAUAUAAUUAUAAAUAUAUUAUAUUUAUAUAUUUUUUAAUAUAUAUAUAUAUAUAUAUAUAAUAUAUAUAUAUAUAUAUAUAUAUAUAUAAUAUAUUAUAAAGCGUAUAGAAAUUCCGACAAUACAAAGGAAUCCAAAAAGGAAUAAAAAAAUUCCCUAUGAAUGAUUAUGAUUUUUUGUUAAAAAUAUUCAAUAAGAACGAACCGUUAUGAUCAAUCUAUUAAAUCUCUACUAAUAUUGAAAUCUAUUCCAUAUAAUGGUUAUGAUUAAUUUGUUAACAAAAUAUUUCAAAAAAGAACAGCUAUGAUCAAUAUUUAUUUAAAAAUAGCAUUCCUAUCCAUCUAUAAAUUCAAUCCUACGUUUAUAAAUUUGGUAAAAAAUUCUCCAAUAAAAAUAAAUAGUUAUGAUCUAUUUGUUAAAAAAAUAGCAUUCCUAUUAAUCUAUUUUACAUUAAAAUUAAAUUUAGUUUAAAUUAUAAAUUAAAUUUAAUAAUUUUUUAUAUCAAAUUUGAAUCAAUAAUUAAUUUUUGUUACAGUGGAUCAAAUUAAAUUUAAAUUUAAAGUAAAUGUGAAUUAAAUUUCUAUGCUUUUAUUUAAAACACAUACUUAAAUUUGAUUUAUCAAAAUCAAAAGUAUAUAAAAAUGUUUUAUGUAUUUAUAUAUAAAAAACGAACACGGUAAGAUAUUGUAAUAUUUUCUAAUAAAAUAUAACAAAUUAAUUUAUAAAUAUAGUUUUAUUGUAAAAUUUUGGAUUAUUAUAAUAUACAAUGUAUACUGAUUUAAAAUAAAUUAUAAUAAUUGUUACGUGCAUUUGCACGUACAUUCAACUAGUAUAUAAUAUAUAUAUAUAUAUAUAUAUAUAUAUAUAUAUAUAUAUAUAAGUAUUAUAUUAUAUUAUAUAUAUAUAUAUAUAGUGUAGAACUAAUGCUAUCGAAAAUAUAGAGGAUUUGAUGUUUUUGAAUUUUUGACCCUUGAUUAAGAAUUGUAUGGUUAGGAUAAUUGUGUCGCCUCCUAGGAUUAAAUAAAUAUUCCUAGAAUUGAGUAAUCCCUACAAGAUAAUAAUAGUAUUAAUUCAAAGAAAUGAUUAGUUGAUCUAAAAAUCAAAAAAUCGAAACCACCAGACUCUCUAUACUUUCGAUAGUAUAUGUAGCUCUACCAUAUAUAUAUAUAUAUAUAUAUAUAUAUAUAUUAUAUAUAUAUAUAUUAUAUAUAAUAGAGAGAGAGAGAGAGAGAGAGAGAGAAUGAGAGAGAGAGAGAGAGAGAGUGAGUGAGGCUACUAUGCUAUCGAAGCACGAAGCCUUCCGUGCUUCCAGCUCGUUUUCGGAUGUUGCGACUUUCGAAUCGUCGAUCGCGCUGCCGUUAAAUCUUGAUCUAGAGUAUUGAAGUACUAGAAAAUAAAUUUUAUGAUUUUACGAUAUUAUUGCCUAGUGAACGAAGGGGCUCAAAAUCAACGGCUGAAAAUAAAUCUUACAAAAUGUAAUAAUAUGACAUUAAAAUUUUAAAUCAAAGAUAUUGAUCUUUGUUUAUAUAGUAUAAAGAAUUUUCUAUCAAAUUUCACGUGAUUUGGAUAUUUUUACACCGUUAAACUUUCAAACGGCUCACUACGGCCAUUGAAAUUUUUGAUUUUGAGCCCAUUCGAUCACUAGGCAAAUGAUAUCGUAAAAUCAUAAAUUUAUUUUCUAGGUACUUCUAAAUACUCUAGAUCAAGUUAAACGGAGCCGAUCGACGAUUCGAAAGUCGCAACAUCGAAAACGAGCUGGAAGCACGAAGGCUCCGUGCUUCUGAUAGCAUAGUAGCCUUACUCUAUAUAUAUAUAAUAUAUAGUUGAGCUAGAAUACUAUCGUAGUAAACGAGCCAUUUUACUACCGAUUUGUUUUCGAUGAUAGAGCUCCAAAUGACGAUCGGCUCCAUUAAAUAUGAUCUAAACCAUUUAAACUACCUAGAAAUCAAAUUUCACGCACAUUUUGAUAUUGUUCUUUUAUCGCAAAAUGAACAGAAAAAUGUAUGCUGAAAAUGAAUACUCUUUUAAAAAAUGAUGAUAGGAGUCUUCUAAUCAAGAUCAAGAGUAUAGAUUCUUUUUAAAAAUGUUUAAAGAAUUUUUCUAACAAAAUUCAAUUGAUUUGAUAUCUUUACGCCGUUAAAUGAGAAAACGCCGUUAUCGACUAUUAAAAUUACAAUUUUGAAACCCUUGAUCAUUAGGCAAAUGAUGUCGAAAAGAUUUGAAAUUUGAUUUCUAAACCUUCAAGUGGUAUAGGAUCAUGUUCAACGGAGCCGUAUCGUCAUUUGGAAGUUCUAUCAUUGAAACAAAUCUGUAUAAAACGGCUUCGUUUACUACCGAUAGUAUUCUAGCUCAACUCUAUAUAUAUAUAUAUAUAUAUAUAUAUAUAUAUAUAUAAUAUAUAUAUUAUAUAUAUAUAUAUAUAUAUAUAAAUUUCCGAGCUUUUCGAGCCUAAUUCGAACGAACGAGCCGAGUAAUACUCAGCGCGCUUGAAAUAAAUUUCUAGCCUUUUUUUUUUUUUUUUUCAGCCGGUCUGUAAUAACUAGAUUUUUUUUAUUGAGUGAUUAAACCCUUUUGUUUGACGAUGUUUUUGUGUGUAACAUAAUUAUAAGUGUACUCGUCAAAUUUCAGGAGAAAACGAGAUUAAACGGAGAAGUUACGCGACCCGGAAGUCUGACUUAAGUGAAUAGUAACUCCGAUUUUCCGGAAAGGCCGUGGAGUAGAGUGGACUUUCGACGCGUAUCGAACUCCGAAUAUAGCUUCCAAUAGCUCGUUUUCAACCGCUCGAUCUAUCCUGGACCCAAUGGCACUGACAGAUUUGGAUUUGGAUGGCACGAUUUCGAGAAAAAGGGUUUAAUGGUUUUGCAUAUAUGUUGUGCUAUAUGUGGUUUUGGUGGAACCUAGCGAAGUGAAGUUUUUGUCGCAAAUCGGGAAUCUUUGCGAGCGAUAACACGAGAUGCUAAUUCAGGCCUCUGCUGCGUGCUGAUCGCGCUGGUGCGAUCCGAUCGGAAAUCCGACGGACGGAUCCUCGGGAAUCGCGAAAAGUCCGCGAAGGGGCUGAUUUGAAUAAUCGGAUUAUUCGCGAAAAGGCCCUAUAUUUUAUGCGUCGAAUUGCGAGUUUUCGAACUUAGAGGGACUAUCGUGCGUUAUGCGACUGCUGGUUGAGAGCUGGGAUUAAUUCGAUUCCUUUCGAGGGGGUUUUCCGCAAGUUUUCCGCACUUAUAUUUAUAGGUUGUCCUAGGGUUUCUUGAGCUAACCCUAACCCUAGAACCCCCCCAGCUGACCCAGCCGCCCCUGUCACCACAGCACCUCCCUGCCCUGCCCGUGCUCACGUUCCGGCCGCCGCCGAGCAGCCCCGGUCGCCGGAAACUGCCUGCAACCAGCCUUCCUCCUCUCCUCGGCCAUCUCUCUCUUUCACUUAGACCGAGGGCUUGUGGGAGGGUCUCCACCGCCUCUGGAAGCGAGCCCCGGCCUCCUCCCACCUCAGGCGUGCCUCUCCCCUAGCUCCGGCCAUCCCCCGACGUCGCCGGAGCCGCCGGAGGAAGCUGCGGCCAGCCCUGGUAAGCCCAGACCGAGCCAGGCCGAGCCGGGAUUGCGGGCGCUGCCACCCCUCUUCUUCGGCCGCGGCGCCGUCCAUCUGGCUCCGUCGACAUCCGGCGUGCAUCCCCCGCCGUCCCUGCACGCCGCCGGCCGCCGCUAAGCUUCCCCGCCGCCGCCCAGUUUUUGGUGCGGGCCGACCUUGGAGCCGCGCCGCCCCCGAGCACCGCCUUUGCCCUCCGAGGUGAGCAUCACCUUCCUCCUCGGACUCCGGCACCGGAUCAUCGCCGCCCCGACCUCCCCAGGUCGCCGCCUCGCCGCCGGCAAGCUCCAACCCGAGAGGAAGUGUGUGGGCCCGAUCUCCGCCGCCGCGCCACCGGCUGCUGCCCGCCGCCGGCCAGCUCCUCCCCCGGACUUCUUCGACCGGCUGCUCCCAUCUCCGGCCGGAGCGCCCGCCACCCGAUUGCCGGCGGCCAUCCCUAGCUCCCACUGCUCCGGUGAGUAGCCAUUUAUGGUUCCAGCACUACAGUUUUGUGUUCCGGUCACUUUUCCGGUGAUCCGAUGACUCCCUGGCACCUCGAGAGGUGAGCACGAUGAUCGUGGGCUCGUGCUGAACACGAUUCUCACCUCCAUUUAGGUUAACAGUGCCCUGGUUAGUGAGUAAUGUGCUAUCUUUGCGCUGUGCGCGCUGGUUCGCUGUUGUUCGCGUCGCUCGUGCGCGCGUAGUUGCUGCCGGAAGUGCUCCGAAAGGUGAGCACGGCCCCAGGCAUUCUGAAACCUAGCAACAAGUGUGAUGGCACCCUUCGUAGAUCCCUGGUUUGCUGGUACAACCCGUUGGAGCCAGGAAAUCACAUAAAAUAAUGUGAUUUCAUGGGCCUUAGGUUGAUCGUUUGUGUUUCGCUUCGUCGUGGCUGCUGUGCGCAGAUUAAGCUUAAGCAUCAACCUCUGACAUGUAUCGUCAGGCCCCAAGCCUUAUGUGGAAACUAUCGGUCAUUUUCGGCAGCUUUUUCGGCGAUAAUCCGCCGAUAGAACCAGCGUUCGACUCUGGAAAUUCAUCCGACGUACCUUCUGUGGUUGUUGUUGCGUCGCUAAGCCUUAUGGUUACCGUGUGUCUCUGAGGUGGCUCGAGAGGACGGAUUCUAGUGAGCGACGAUAGAAAGUUCUGGUACUGGUUCUCGAUACUCAGCGCGUCUCGGAGUUGCGUUUGAGAGAACGUGUCGACCGGGGUUAUGAUUUCAGGAUUUGUGUGAGAAUAGUCGUCGUUAUUGUGUUGUGGGUUAGAUUACUAACCCGUGGGACCUUCGUUAGGUCCGGUCGCUUCCGUCUCCGCCUAUCGCAGAGACCGUUCGGCUGUCAUACAGGUGGGUACUUCGAAUCCGAAGUCCCGGCUACAGCGUGCACGUUUCGGUGAGUCUUGAUUAUUCUUUACCCUAUGCUUUGUCAUCGUCUAUUCAUAUUGUUUACUCGUUACAUAUUCGAGCCUGACCAUACUGUCUUUAUUUAUAUGCCCGUUGUCCUCAUCGUUAUAUUCUGUUAGGGGUAGAGUAGAUGGCUAUUAGUAUAUCACUAUUAAUUGACUGAUUGUCGUCUUCCUGUUGCGAUCGGUGUACCUAUUUGGUAGAUUCAUUAUUUUAAACCCAUACUUUGACCUUGUUGGUCGGUUCACUUGUGUACUUGAUGACCUAACGGUCGGGCGUGUCGGCUGCAGUUGCCGACGGUUGGCUAUUGAGCCAUAUCCGCAUCGAUCGUACCACUCGUUCGCUAUUUUCAGAAACCAGGGUCUGAAUCCACGCCCAGAGGGUUCUUUUUUCGGCCGAAAAAGUGGUUGGGUUUGCCCACCCGUGAGCUCAGAGGUUACGACUGGGUAUAUGCAGGUUGAGUGAUUGUGGCAUUAGCCUGAGGUCUCCGGACCAACAAGGCAGGUUUAGAUUGGGUAUCCUUGGACUAUCCACCAGUUGAUGCAUACAUACAGUAGCAGUAGUUCAUUACUUGUACAUCAGUUCCUUACUUGUACUUUCUGUUCUUAUAUCAUAGUAGCUACUGUAGUUGUUUACCUUUACUGUUGUCUAGCCUCCUUUGCUGGUGCGUACCCUCGCCCUCGUCGGCUUGCGGUACCCACUGGGAGGGGAGACAUGUUUACAUGUUCUCACCCCCCGCCCCCAUUACAGGUGACGUCGCAGGUCCGAGUGGGACGGCAGGUGAGGAGCGAGUCUAGCGCGCGUUAGAGCUCCGUCCCGUUUGGUUAUCUCUUUUUCCUUUGCUUGAAUAAAUAGUAAACUUUUAUUACGGUUCAGUUUCAUUCCGUACUUGAGAAAUUGGUUUUUCGCUGGCUUUACGUAUUGUGAUAAAAAGAGAUUUAUGGACUUUUCAAAGUAAAAUGGUUUUCUACCUCUCGUGGUAGCGCUUGUUUUUUUAAAAGAAAAGAGUUUUCAUAUUCGAUACAGUUUUCAAUGGUUUUUCUACCCCUCGUGGUAGUGUUUUAAAAGAUAAAGGUUUUCGUGUGGGAAACAGUUUUAAAAGGAGCUUUUAAUGGAUUUCCGAGACUUAGUAUUUCAAAACUUAUUUUCGGGAAGGAAACGUCUCAAAUGAUAGAUUUGGAUUUAUGUUUAAAAACUAUGAAUACCGUCGUGUUGUGAAUGGUGAAUGUAUGGACGUCUGUAUGUGCGGAUGAGGUUGUAUGUUCAUAUGGUUGUGGUUGUAUUCUGGAUGUACUCUCGUUAUAUAAUUGUACUUGUGCGACGCCGUGCAAAUACAGGGGAGACUCUGUCCGUGUGAACAGUGGAUUCCCUGUAUUUGUGGCGGAUCUGACAUACCCUGGGAUCAGGUGUUUCAAAAAAAAAAAAAAUUUCAGUCGUUUCCGCUGUUUUUCCAAACAAAAAGGGACCCCGGGGCGUGACAUCGGCUCAUUUAAUUUUGAGUCGAGCUCGAGCGAGCCAAAUAUCGAGUCGAACGCGAGUCGAACGCGAGCCGGCUCGCUCAUUUGCCAACCCUAGCAACGGCGCACGCAGGUUCGUUCUUCGUCUUCCAGUAGGUUCAACGUCGCCAUUCGCACACGCCCGGCAGCGGCUUUCAGCAGAUUCGUUCUUCGUCUUCCAUUGAUCUUCAUCUUUUUUUCCCUCUUUUUCUUAUGAUUUUUUUGAGCAAAAUGUGAGAAUUGUUCGUAUAGUAUUUUUAACUUUAGUCUCAGGUUAAUGUGAGGAUUGUUCGCAAAAUAUGAGGGUUUUCGGGUUUUUGGUUGGGUUCGGAUUUUUGGUCGGGUUCGGGUUUUCAGGUUCGGGUUCGGGUUUCGGGUUUUUGCUCGGGUUCGGGUUUGGAUGUGGAUUUUUAAAAUCCAUCGGGUUCGUGUUCGGGUUCGGGUUUCGGAUUUGGUAGUCGGGUUUGGGUUCGGGUUUUUAUAAAUCCGCCCCGAAUCCGACCCGUUGACAUCCCUAUGUACCACUAACAUUACUCAUUUAGUUAUAGAUAGAAGUAUAUGAAGACCCCUUCAACUAUAGGCUGUUCUGAAAUACCCCUCUAAGUUUUUUAAAGGGGGAAUUUCCUCACUGCAAACAACUAUAGGCUGUUUUUGACACAUGGACGCAUUAAAAUUGGAAGGGAUAUAUGCAUAAAGAACUCUUAAACUUUAAAGUAUUGUCAAAUGACACUCUAAUUUUUAAUCUAGCAACUAGAUCUUCUAAAAUAGUCAAAUAGUUUAAUUGGUCAAUUUUCUCAAGAGAAGUUACUAAUUAAAAACCCAUUUUGUUGCAGAUAUGGUCUUGUAAAGUCUCAAAAACACAAACAAAAAAAAAAAAAAAAAUUUCUUUCUUCGUGAUAAAACUAAGAUAUACUGUAAUACACUGGACUUUCGCAAAUUGCGGAGUUCGAGUAUGUGGAAUGGUGUGUGGAUCACUCCUACUUGUUCUAAAAGGUUAGAACAAGUUUUUGGAUAAGUUAGAGGAUGUUUGGAAUGCUAAAAAAUGAGAAUGUGCAUUGAACUGGCGAAAAUCAGCCUUUUCUGCUUGCUGUACCGGUACAGCCGCAAUGGUGUACCGGUACACAGUGGCAUUUCAUGGCAGCAGGGCUAUUUUGGUCUUUUCACAUCUUGAUCCCUAUCUAUAACCCCCAGCACGACUCCAGGAGCACUGUGGAAGGGUCUGAGGUCCAGAGAAGUGUUCUACCAUCUCUCUCUCUUUCUCUCUCUAGGAUUUUUCUCUCUCUACAAAGAAAUCGGCGAUUUCGCUCGUUUUCGUCGCCUUGCUCGUUCUUCGCUGGUUGCGGGUGUCGCUGAGCCUUCGUAGACAUGUGAGAGAGUGUUUUGGAAGGAUUUUCGCAGCUCUGAACCAGUGAGGUGCUGGUUGGAAGCUUGAGCAGGUAUUCGACUCGAUUUUUCCGUUAUCGGCGUUCUAUUAGUGGAUUUGAGUUUUGAUUUCGGGAUUGUUGCUUCUACUGCUUUAAUCUGAGAUUUCAGCAAUUAAAUAUGAGUUAAUUAGCUGUGAAUAAACCUCCUUAGACCAGGGAUAAGCUACUUUGCAGCCUAGUAGCGAUGUUUCGCUAUUUAUAAAGCUAUUUCGGACUAUACACGAGUUAUGCGAUCAAAUUGAUGCAGUUUGGACUUGUUCCUUCGCAGCAGGUUCUCGAACCAUUUGGAGCUUAUUUGGUGACCUGGGAGGCUGGUUUAGAAGGUGUUCUAACCUGAGGUAAGCAGGAAUUUCAGUUAGAAAACUGAAUUUGCAAGAUUCCGACUAUAUUGGCUACUAUAUGAUGAUAUUGAUGCCGUCUCGAUGUUGUUCGCAGCGAGAGUGCGAACGAGCCUUCGAUCGUCGUUAGCUGACUUGUGAGAGCUCUUGGAGACUUAUCUUGAGGUAUUACACUAGCCCAAAACAGGGAUUUAAGGGAUUACUUUGUACUAAGUGCAAUUUAGGCCGAAAUCGGACAUUUCGGUUGUCAUUUUGACACGGUUUUGUUACCUUGUUUUCAGCAGGAGUGGGGCUUCGUGGGGCUGAUUUUGGGACCCUUGUAAACUUAUUUGGAACCUAGUACGAGGUGGGUUUGACCUAACCAGAGCAAGUGAAGCUCCCCUAUGUUCUAUAUGUAUCGAAUUGACAUAGUUGUGCGAUAUUGUCACUAUAUGGUUCUUUGGAACUUCUUUGCCAUAACAUUGACUAGAAUCUCUAUGAAGUAGAGAGAAUUUAUGCAUAACAGUAUUUAUGCUUAUGUUUAUGUUUAUCUUUAGUUCAGUUGAAUAACCAAUGGACAUGAUAAUUAUGUUUUUGUAAAGUAGAAAACAAUGAUAUUGACUCUAAAGUAGAGAACCGUGACAUGCUUUGGGACUAUGUUGGUAGUGCCAUGAUAGUGAAAAGAUUCUAAUGCCUGUAAAUUAGCAUUACUCUUACAUGCUUACUAAACUAGUGGAUUCUAGUUAUUGUUCAUAUUUGUUAUAUUGAAAUUCCGAUCGAGGAUCGAGACCGUGAACAUUGCAAAUGAAAUUGUAAUAAUUGAGACAUGUUGGACUGUGGACCUUGCUUGCUUGCCAUUGUGCUCAUUCGCACACGCUUGUGAGGGUAGCUCCCUACAAGCCGGCACUCCGGAGUUGGCCUAUGCGACAGUUGCUCGCCCGUGCGGGAGUGGGUGCCGAAGUGGAUUGCCGUGGGGAGUGUAUACUACCACGGGGCCAUUAGGCGCGGCGCAAGCUGGACUACCUUGGGUAGGUCCCUGUGAAUGAAAGGGAAGUACUAAAUGAAAAAGGACAGUAAUGAAUGUUUAUUACUUAAAGUGUACAGUAGUCACUUUUAUAUUCGUGCUUAUGCUCAUGUCUAUGUUCAUGAUUACAGAAAUUGCUAUAUCUCUUUGAUGCAAAUGAUUCAUUACUGUAGAAAGCUAUUACAUGUUGAUUACAUGCUUAUUACUUAUUAGCAUCAUGCUUAUAAAUCAUGCAAUUAUUGUUAUUGCUUUCAUUUAGUACAUCUUGAGCCUAGCGGUGUAAUUCGCCGAGGCUGGCGGCUUACCCACUGGGAACUAUUGUUAAUAGUUCUCACGCCCUUUUGGUGGUUGUUUUUACAGAGCCUGUUACAGGAGAGGCUAGGGAUCGUGGCAAGGGAGUCGCGCCUAGCUAGGGACUACUAGGAGCGUGCUAGUCGAUCACCUUGCUACUCGGGCUACGGCCGAGGGUGAUGUCCAUAUAUAUAUAGAGACCACCAUUGUAUCUAUUCUUUUUGUACACCCGUGAUGUAUAUUUACUUUCGGGGUUGAGAUUAUAGUAGUGUUACUUCUCCUUUUUGCUGAGAUCUUGGAUUGUAUACUCUUUGUAUAUUGACUCGGAUUGGAUACUCGUUGUAUAUCGACUUGUACUUUGCUCUGAUAUCAGGAUAGGACUCUCUUGUUUUACUUCCUAUCGACUUGCUUCUUGUAGACGCCUUAUAUACUGCAGGUGUAUGGCGGGUCUGUGCACGUACCGGAUAUGCUUCCGCUGGUACCCGGGCGUGACAUAUACGGAUUGAGGAAUAUACAAAUUAAAUCCAUCUUUCAUUUUAUUUUUCAAGUGCUGGAAUAAAAAAAGAUAAAUUUUAAUAUAUUUUGAAGCUUCACAAGAUCAGACGCAAGACAUUUGUUGAAAACGAACAUUUAAUUAGUAACUUUCUUAUAGCAGAAGGGUUGUUGGAUUAUUCGAUAAUAUUUAGGAUGUCUAAUUGUCAAAAUUAAAAACUCAUGAUGUAUUCGCCUACACUCUUAAGUUUAGAAAGUGUUUGAACUUUUUUUUUUCCCUAUUAGAAAUGAAUGCCGCUAGGUAUUUCCAUAUACCAAAUAAUUUUGGAUAAAAGAAAAUAUGUAGUGCAUGAUGCUUUGUUUAAUUUUUAAAAAAAUAAACUUAGGUAGAAAUAUAAAAUAAUUUACCUUUAAAUUUAUGUUGAAUACCAAUCAUCACUUCACCACUUGCAUUAGAAACAGUCAGUGCGAGGUGAAUUUUUUAAUAGAUAAAAACAUAUGAACAUUCUAGGCAUUUUGAAAUAACCCACGUAAUUUUAUAUUUGGAUUGAGAGGCCCUCAAUGUCUAUUUUUUUAUUCGAGUUUUCAUAACUUAGUUUAGCUAAAAAUUUGAUCAAAUUUAAUAAAUCUAUUAUUUAUUAACUGUUAAUUAGUCAAUUUUUAUUAAAUUUAAUUAAAUCAUCAGUUAAUUUGACAAAACCCUUCAUUUUUCUGACUAAAGUCACUUAAUUUAAAAAUAAAUCAAAAGUGGAACAGUUCUCAAUCCAAAAUAAUAAAAAUUUACGAGUAAUUUCAAAAUUAUUUGUAAGUAGGGUAUCUCCAUACAUUCAACCCACUUUUAGUUGUAAUCUUACCAUUUUACUAAUUCAAAAGACAUCUUUUUUUCCUACAAAUCUUGCCAUUAAAGACUUAAAAAAGGAAUAAAUGUGAAAGACCAUUAGAUAAAAGAUUGUAAAAACUGCAAUCCUUUUAAGUUGUAGACUUUGCAUUUUUCCUCAACAUACCUUUUUAUAGGAAAUCCAACAUGGCGCUCCCACGCUAGUUUGGGCAAAGCAGUUUCGGAUGGGGGCGAUGGGGCCACUUUAUUUUUUUUUUUUUCAUUUCAAUUCUUCUCUCCCCCCUAUUUUCUACAUUGAUCUGGGUGGAGAGGGUGGGGCUGAGACCAACCUUCUUUUUCCUACUCAAUUCUCCUCUCUUUCAUUCUCUAUCAAUUUCUUUCUCAUCUUUUACUGUACAAUUUAUUUUUAACUAAUAAAUAUUAUAAAAUUAAAAUUUAUAUUUAAUACAUAGAAUCUAAAUAAUAUAAAAAGCUAUAUAUAAAAAAUUAUAUAAUUAAAAUUUUUUAUACUGAGAUUUUAGAAAUGUAGUGUCACGCCCCGGAUUACAUGUUCCCCGGGCACGCCGACAAAUCCGCCGUAUACAAAGAAAUUUUUCCUGUAUACGAAGCGACAGCUGUACCUGUAAAUCAAACACUGCUACGAACAGUAGUAGAGAGCUGCUAGAGAAAACAAAAGCUAAACAAACAGAGUUUCAUAUACAUAGUUCAAAUCCAAAAUACAGAGCUACUCGCACUGGCGAGUUAAGUCAACUAUGUAUAUAAACUCGAAACAGAACAUCUACCUGCAGUAGGGGCACCUCUAGCUCAGCACGUCGGGUAGGGCUCUAACUCGCGACACCCUUGCCUCGAUCCUGGUCCGCGGACGGUGCAGCAGCCGGAACCUGUGGCUCUGCAAAAACAUAGGUAACAACUGGGCGUGAGAACUACUGUAAAAACAAGUAGUUCUCAGUGGGUACCGUCCAAAACAAAAUCGGUCCACCCACUAAGUCUACAGAAGGGAGCAAGAGUAGUCAGAAAAGUAGGAAAUAAACUCUACCGCUAACGAUCACUACACUAUCAUGCUCUACACUAACCAACUUUAGGAAAUGUCAACUCUGACCCAAUCAACUCGGGACUGUACGCAUACCCGUCCCCGGGACUGUGAAUACACCCGUCCCUGCCCCGUUGCGACUAUCAAGCUCUAUCCAUACUAACUGGUCCGUGGAGAGCAAGUCCAACUGGCAUGAGCGACACCAACGCGAAAGCACAAAGCCUGACUCCGGAGUGGCACUCGUGGGCGCUACCCAACCGAGUAUGCAGCGUAUCUCUGUCGAGCUCAGUCAGGCUCCAACUAGCCAACGUCAAGUGAACAGGGUCAAAACAGGUCGACAAACCAAACCCACGUGCCCUCGGCACAAUCUGUGACCAAAACAAGAAUCUGGGUCCACCGCUAACCUGAACGGCACCCAAUGACCCGUAACAGCCUAAACUCUGCUGAAAAAUAAGCUCGGCAUCUCAGCACGAGCGUAAAUGCCUUCUAAACUACCCCAGGUAUCCAUCGCAACGAUACUGCAACGAUACAAUCGAAUCACGGCUCCUAGAGCUAAAUCUGGUAGUUUAAGCAUAUGACGAUUCCAAUGUGUUUUCUCCUAAGUCAAAUCCAGUUCAACAUGUACAUUUAAGAUUUACUAGUCAUGUUCUCAAUACCGAUUAUAUCCAGGAUAGCAUCACGAAUAUCAAGCUACAACAUGAUUACCGAACUAAAAAUCAUACAUGUCAACGAUUACGGUACUUAGGAAUAAACCGAUGUAAACCCACCUCCAAAAAGCUAAUCCCUGGUAGCGAAGGACUUCCACUGGUGUGGAGCGACCUGCUGGAUCACCCGGAAUCCGCCGAGUCCAAAAAUCAAGCUAACUCUACGCCCUACACAACACAAGUCACCAUUCAGCCCAGAAAUUACAGCAGUGAGGUACAAUAGAGAUUCGACCAAGCUAACCUUCACCUAAUCCAGCAAGUAAGGGCUUCGUGGAUUUCUCUCGAAGUCCCGAAUCCAACGAACCAAGUCCCGUCGAAAUCCGAUGCUCCUACGCCGAGUAUGAUCUGAAAUACUAACGGUCGACGAUGGGAAUCAGCAAACAGCACCUAGCUCGAAAUGUCAAUACUUGAAGCAACGCAACGGAACGCUCACCUCAAAGGCUAAUCGGUCAGCGACACGGCGUUGAGAACGGCGAAAACGCACCCUCGCCUAGCUUCCUCACAGCGCCACGAUCCCAACCGUAUCCCCGAACGGCUUCGCGGCGCGACGUCGGUGUCGAAUCCGAGCUCCAACCGAACUCCUCCACGGUCGAACCAAGCUAGAGAGGGAGAGGGGAAGAAGGAGCAGCAAGAAAACUCCCUUUCAAGCUCUCUACGCCUGUAUAAAGAAGUAGGUGAAGUGGUGAUACAAACGAGGGAGAUAAUUACAUAAUUAGCCCUCUACCUAGCCCCUUAUACCGGUACACGGGCUCUUGUAUCGGUACAAGAGCCAACCCGAGAGCUGCUAAUCCUCUGCGCGAUGGUUGUACCGGUACAGCCCCGCUGGUUGUACCGGUACAGCAAGCAGAGAAAUCUGCAGUUUUGCAGAUUUCUUCGCUAUAAGCUGCUCUCGCGUCGCACGGAGUCCGUUUUGCGUCUAUUUGACGCCAACGCGACUCGGACUUGUCCCGACACUCUCCAGAGCUGUCGGCAAGCCUCCACAGCUGAACACAAGGGAUCUCACAUGUAGUGUAUCAAAUUUAUUUUUACACUCAAUAUACGCAAUAUUUCUCCUCCACCACUCUAUCUUUUCUUCUCAACUAUGAUAAAUUAUUGUCAGCACCCAAUCUAUUGAUGCAUUACAUAUACUAAAUUAUUUUCUAAAAUCUAUUAUCUAUUAAACUAUAUAAAAGCUCAAUGUUUAAGCUGAUUUAACAUACUCUCCUUAUUUUUGGAGAGAGGGUUCAACCUUCAUUACUUUACCUUUCUAUUAAAGCUCAAUACUUAGCUAGCAUGUCAUGUAUAGUUAAUUUUGAGAAAACGGUUCACACUUUUAGAAAGGUACACGACCCUUCGACUUCUCUUCACUGUUCCAGUUAAUGAAUCUAUGGUCCCAAUACAACUACAACCGUCACCUCUCUAUCUUCAUCCCGCCCCUUCCUUAUCUCCUCUCUUUUCUUUUUUUUUCGCUCUUUUCUAUCAACAUCAAUUUUCUCUCUCACCUUUUUCUGUGCACCAUGGUAUCCCCCUCUAUCUCGCUCGAACUAAUGCUUACUCCUAUUAGACGGCGAGGGUUUUCAUAGUCCCAAUACUCCUUGGGGUGGUGGACAUUAACGUCGGUGUAGAUGUAGGCCCUGGAGGCAGUGCUAGGGCGGCGCACGAACUUGCCGAUGUGCUAGGCCAUGGCGUCGGCGACGAAGGCAAUGGCGGGGCGAGGGUGAGUAGCGGCAGCGGCGGCGGCGGAGAUCAAGCGGAGAGGGGAAAGAAGAGUGCAUUGCUCCUGGGAUCACCAUCGUUCACAUCAGGAAGCAGACAGUGGUCCCUUUCUACUCAAAAUAAGAAUUCUUUCUUUCUUUUCCUUUCUUAAGAAAAAGCACACGAGCUCAAUUUUAUAUAUAUAUAUAUAUAUAUAUAUAUAUAUAUAUAUAUAUAUAUAUNGACAAAAAUUUGGCGUACAUAGUCCCUGUACAUAAAAAUUUGGAAAUUGUUCGGAUCGGCGCCCGUGGCAAGUUGUAUUUAUCUCAACCGUUUAAAAAUUAUAUUAUUUUUUAAAAAUUAAAAUUUUUAAAGUUUUAUUUUAUUGGAUGAUUGAGAUAAGCUCGGCUUGCCGCAUUAUGCUAAUCCGGAUAAUUUUUAAAAUAUUAUGUUUGGAGACUAUGUCUAUCAAAUUUUUGUCCGUAUAUAAGAACUUGUUUAUUUAUAGACUAGUAUACACUAUAUAAAUUUUAUAAUAAAGUUAAUUUCAUUGAGUUUCAUAUAUAAUAAUAAGUAUAAAGCACAGCGAAUUUAUUUCUAUAAAAUUUAAAUUUUUAUAUUUAAUUUUAUAAAACUUUCAUAAUAUUUAUAUUUAUCCUUCUAAUUUAUAUAGCAUUAGUUAUUUUUUAAUAAAAAAUAAGUAAAAUAAUAUUUUUGCCACCAUAAAUAUAUCUUUCAAAAACUUCAACUAUUAAAAUUAUACAAAAAUAUUCUUUUAAAAAUUUUUAACGACCAUUUUAUUUCUUUCUGCUAUCACAAAUAAUAUAAAAGAGGUAAAAAAAUCAAUUUACUUCAUCACUAAUCAAAUUAAGUAUUUUAUCUAUAGUUAAGUACAUUUUUCUAAUGGAUCAUAACAGUAAGAGUAUAUUUGAAAAUGUUUAAAUUUUUGUAAAAAUAAAUAUUAGAAGUUGAACUCUUUGUAAGGAUAUAUAUAUAUAUAGAGAGAGAGAGAGAGAGAGAGAGUUCGGCUACUAUACUCUUAUGAGUAUGAUCGUCUUCGUACUCAUAAGUCAUUUUCAAUGAUAGAGCUUCCGAAUUGACAAUCCAUACCGUUAAACAUUAUCUAGAACAUUUGAAACUUUUAGAAAUCAAACUUUAUAAUUUUUUGAAAUUAUUUACCUUAUGAUCAAAAUUUUUCAAAAUUAAUAAUUUUUAACAGUCGAUAUGGAAUACUUGCUAGUUUAACAGUGUAAAAUAAUCGCAAUCGGUUGAAUUUUUGAUAAAAAAUUCUACUAACUAUCUAGAUCAAUAAUUGAAAAAUCAAUAACUCCAAUCUUAAAUUGAAGGAUCCGUUCAUCCAUUUAUAGGACGUCGUUCGAUUUUGACUGUUCAUUUUAUGCUCGCUUGAUAAACUUUAUUAUAAUUUCGAAAAAUUAUGAAAUUUAUUUUUACGAAGUUUCAAAUAUUCUAGAUUAUAAUUAACGGAGUGGAUCAUCUAUAUAGAAACUCCAUCAUCGAAAACAACUAAUGAAUACGCAGGGCUCUAUACUAAUAAAGGAGUGGACCGUCGAUUUCGUAAUUUUUCAAAAUCAAAAUAAAGUCCAUCAACUGAGCAUAAAAUGAACUGUUAAAAUCAAACGACGUCCUAAAGAUGAAUGAUCGGAUCCUUCAAUUUAAAAUCGAAGUUAUUAAUCUUUAUCUAGAUAGUGAAUAGAAUUUUCUAUCAAAUAUUUAAUCAAUUCCGAUACUUUUACACCGUUAAACUAGUAAGUAUUUUAUACCGGCUGUUAAAAAUUGUUAAUUUUGAGAUCUUUUAAUCGUAAAGUAAAUGAUGUAAAAAAAAUAAUAAAAUUUGAUUUUUUAAAAGUUUUAAAUGUUCCAGAUAAUGUUUAACGGUAUAAAUCGCCGAUUCGAAAGUUUUAUCAUUGAAAACAACUUAUGAGUACGAAGGCGAUUGUACUCAUAAGAGUAUAGUAGUCGGACUCUCUCUCUCUCUCUCUCUCUCUCUCUCUCUCUCUCUCUCUCUAUAUAUAUAUAUAUAUAUAUAUAUAUAUAUAUAUAUAUAUAUGAGUUGAGCUAGAUAGCAAAAGCCCUAUUUUGCUAUCAAGUUUUAGCCUUUGGAUCAAUUAUUUUCAUUAUUUCUAACAUUGAAUUAAAUAUUAUAAUCCAGUGGGGACCACUCAACCCUAAGGACUAAUAUCAUCCUAACAUUACAAUUUCUCAUCCAAGAGUUUAAAACUUGAUAGCAAGAUCUUUUGCUAUCAAUAGUAUUCUCGCCUAGCACUAUAUAGAAUUGAACUAGAAUACUUUUAGAAGCACCAACACCUUGGUGCUUCUAAGUUUCUAGCCCUUUGAUCUACUUCUUAACUACUAAUACCCUUUGGAUCAAACACUAUUCCACCUAUCAUCACCUACCACCAUCAUCUCAACCCUACAUCUCUCUAUCCAAUAGUUAAAAACUCAAAAGCACCACCCAUGUAAGGACUGAGAUUUUUUACAGUGCAACUAAACUCUCUGUUGACGAUGUUUAUGUGUGUAAUUUAAUAUACAUAAGCACUUCGUCAAGUUUCAGGAGAAAAUGAGCUAAAACGGAGAAGUUACGCGAUAUUAGUUUUCACAUUAAGUGAAUAGUAAACUCGAUUUUUCCGGAGAAGCCACGGUGUGAAGUUGGCUUCAGGCUCGUAUCGGACUCCGUUCCUAGUGGUCCAAUAUUCUCGUUUUCGAACCGGUUCAGCGUGUUCUGGAACUAAUGGCGCUGACGGAUUUGAAUUUGACGCACGGAUUUUUCGAGAAAAAUCCAAAAAAUACAUGUUUUAUAUGUAUUUUUGUUUUGUGUGUUUCUUUCAAUUGGGAACGAAAGGUUGGAUUUUGUCGUGAAUCCGUGGUCGAUCGAGACGGAAACGAAAUCGUUAGCUUUGUUGAGUCUUCGAGGUACUGAUUCGUACUGGUGCAUCCGUUCGCAAAUCUGACGGACGGAUCUGCGGAUAUCGCGCGUUUAUUCGAGGAGAAGUCGUUGUGGGGGAAAACGGUAUUUUUGCAAAAGUCGCAAUAUAUUUAUGUACGUUUUACGUGAGAUCGCACGUGGAGGGGUAUUCUCGCGUUUUACACGCGCUGUAAGGCGACUUAGUACCAAAUACGGAAGUUUGAGGGCUUUUCCGCAAUUUGGAGCUAAGUAUACAAAGGGUAUUCUAGGGUUUGCAAUGGAAACCCUAACCUAGCCUCCCUGUGCACCAGCCACCUAGGAGGCCCCUGCCCACGCCGUGCUUGCCACCCGGGCGCCGGCAGCCGCCGCCGUCGCGGAAAAGAUUUCCCAAGCUCCAACCUUCCUCCCUCUCCUCCAGCUUGGCGAGGUUGUACCCAGCACCACCUAAGCCGGCCAGGCCUCGAGUGAGGUGAGCCCGCACCCAGACACCCCCCCCGGCACCUUCACCGCCGACCCCCACCGUCGCCGUCGCCCGCCGAGCGCCGUAGCCGCUGCGGCCCCAGACACCACCCAGGGCCGAAGCUGGGUGGCUCGCGGUGUGUGAGCCUGGCGCCGCUUCCCGACGGCCGCGAGGUCUCCGCGACGUCCGGCGACCACCGCACCGACCCGGCCACCUUGAGCGCGCCGGCCGCCGCAGGUGCCCCUGCGCCGCCUUGUGCUGUACGGGCUGCGAGCGGCGGGCGCCUUCACUCCGGGCAUCGCCGCCGCCCGCCGACGCAAGCUCGGCACCACCUCGACCCCCGCCGUCGUCCCCGACGGCCCGACCAGCCCCGACCGCCGCAUCGCCGCCGGCGACUGAUGGAAGGCACCAAACCGCAUGGGCGUCGCGGCCUCCGUACGCCCGCCGCCCGCCCCCGCCGCCUCGCGGCCGGCCGUCGUGCGCGCCCUGUCGUGGAGUUCCCCGGAGCCCGCCACCUGGUGCACCCUCCCCGGGCGGACCGCCUGCCGGUAUACCGCGCGGCCAACCCUAGCUCCCCCUCACUGUGAGUGUCCAUUUACGCAUUCCAGCACUGUUUUCCCACUCUGCGGUAACUUUUCCGGCAAUCUGAAUGGUCUUUUUGACCUCGGGAAGUGAGCACGAUGAUUCUUAGGUCGUGCUGAACAUCGUGCUCACUUCCGUUUGAGCCCUGAGAUGCCUUGGUUGCUCGGGUAACCGCGAUCUUCCUGCUGUGCCGCGCUGCUUCGCUGAUCUUCGCGUCCUUGUCCGCGCACCGCAGUGGCCGAAUGUGCUCCGAAUGGUGACGACGUCUCCGGCACGCUGAAACCUAUAGCGGGUGCGACGGUUGACCCAGCGAGCCUCGUAUCGCAAGACGGGCCAUUAAAACUGUCGGAAAUCGCAUAAAAAUGAUAGAUUUUUAGGGUUCACGAUGUGCUUUCUUGCAUAUAACAUCGACUCGGUCGCUGCCUGUGAAGGUGUAAACGCUGAGGGUAACCUCUGGACUGAUUGUCCAAGCGCUAGACCCUUUGCGAAGAUCGAAAAUGCUUUUCCGGUGCGUUUUUCGGUGAAAUCCGGCCGACGGAACGCGGGUUCGGUUCGGAAUUAUUCCGACGGUGCUUCGUGAACUUUUGCGUAGUCGCUGAGCCUUGUUGCGCUGUCACUUGUGUCAUUUUCGAGAGUUCGGAAAUGACGGGGUGAGCGACGGUGGUUCCGGUGUCGAAUUAGACACUUCCGGGAACCCGAAUCGAAACGAUUAUCCGAAGAUUAAUUGCUUCAACACGAGGAGUUGUGUUCGCUGCCAUGAUGCAUGUUAUUUAUGUUUAGUGGCAGCAGGUGACUCGUAGCUCGAGUCGAUAUGUUCCGGGACAGUUCGUGGCUCCCGGCGGAGUCCCGUGCGAUUACCGGACUUCCGGCGUAUUACGGCGGCAUCGUUUGGGAAACCGAUCUCCAUGGUUUGCUUGUAGGUUGUGGAUUUAGUGGUUAUUAGCUGUGGUUAGACACUAACCGGUGGACCUUCCUUAGUCCGGUUGACUCCCUUUUGCAGUCAGGAGACAGGCGCAGCAUUUGUACAGGUGGCGGUACUUCGAUCCGAGCGUUACAGUGGUGCACGCUCGGUGAUAUUCUUCUAUCCUGUUCUUCUGUUGCUAUUUUCGUUUUAUAAUUAAUGACUUGCCCGCCCGUUGUUUCUAUUUAUACUCUACUCAUAGGUUUUCUAUGCUUAGUAUCUGUGUGUAGGUAGAGUAGUUUAUCCAUAUGUGAUAUCGGUGACCUGAUUGGUCGGUUCUCGUACUUUGUUCCGGUGACCUAAUUGGUCGUUUCUCGUACUUCGUUUCGGUGACCUGUUUGGUCGGUUGUUGCAUAUGUAUUGGGUUGUCUGUUUCUUAACUUCUGUGUUCGAUGACCUUUGAGGUCGGUGUACCCUAGGGGUAGGAUUGUCGGCUGG